rnacentral:lncRNA from 1 species
GAGAGAGAGAGAGAGUUUGCUUACCUCUGCGAGAAGAGGAACCGGACGGGGAUCGGAACCGCGAUGGGGAUGGGGACGACGAGCCGCUGCUGUUCCGCCUUCCGCGGGGGCUAGGGAUUCGAGCGACACGAGCGUUGGGGCGGCCGGGCGGGACGGGGAGAACCGGGAGCGGCAGCGGCGAGUGAUCUGCAGCGCUCUCUACUGAGGAAGAGGGAGAACUGAUGACAUGGACGACGAAGAGGUAUGGCGUUUGGGCCUGUGAACAUGGGAUCAGGGCAUGCAUGGCCCAGCAAGCUAGCAACGAACAGUCAACAUCUCUCAUCAAGGCCCAAAUGUGCCCCGAGCGAACACGAAAAUCCUAUCUAUCUCGCACAAGACCUCAAAAAAAAAAAUCUAUCUCGCACGAGAUUUUUUCUUAUCCAUCUUCCACAGUUAGAUACUUAGAUACGUGCAGCACUACGUGAACGGUUAAGAUUACACCUAUUUUUAAAAGUCAACAUUUUAGAUGAACUAUCUUAAUAUUUUUUAGAAAAAAAAGUUAGCGAAUGUCAAAGAAAUAUUGAGCCAAAAAAUGUUGGUGAAUGGAAAAAAAACUGAUGCAUGUAAAAACAAUAACGUUGGUGAGUGUAAAAAGAUUAAAUAAAAAUAUUGGUACAUAUAAAAAAUGUUGGCCAACGUAAAAAAAUUGUGAUAACAAUUAAGCCAGAUUUUUUAAAAAAAUUAUUGAUGAAUGUCAAUAAACAUCGAUGGAUGUUAAAAAAUAUUGUACAUAAAUUUAAUAUGGAUUUUAAAAAUAAGUUGCUUAUGUACCUGCCAGAAGGUAUACAAGAGCUCGUGAGAGAUUGUUUUUAAGUGGCAAUGUGGUUUGGUAGCGAGUUUAACUCAUUUAGCGUACACGACCUUGCUAAUUUCGUGUUACGAGAAAAGAAAGAGAUAACAGAGGUAUGUGCAACAUUUUUCUUCCAACUACUCCUAAAAUAUUGGGUAAAAAAGAACACAAUCAUCAGCAAUCAUGCCGUCACUUGGCGUCGCCACAUGCCCCAUGUGCGAAUGCAAAUGCAUUAGCUAGCUUGCUUCCCCAGCGCACAAAAGGGGAACAACAAUCAAAGGGCUACCAUUGAAAAAUGAUCAUGCGGGCAACUAAUGAGCGUUGCCUAACAUUGUAUCCAUCCUUUCGGUGAGAGAAAAGUGAGUGUCCUUUUAUCUCAUCUUUGUUCCUUAGAGAGAGGACACAAUCGCAAUGCUAUACGCUACUCUACCAACCACCUUAGUACGUGCCUCUAGAUUGCUAACAAGCUCUCGGUUGCUAAUAAUCACCAUGCGAAGCUCACUUAUCUUUGAUGAAGGUUCUUUUUGCUUUUCUUUUGUUCGAGAGGGAAAUGCUCGUGCUAUAAAACCCAAGGGACCAACCGGCUUAGUUUUCUAGAACGCUAGCCAGCUUUACUCAAUUACCAUGCCAAGCUCGCUUGCUUAACUUUAAUGUUUGCUUUUGAAAACUUUUUUUUUACUCCUUGAGAGUUGAGAGGGGAAUGCUUUACACUACUAAUAAUAUCAACCCUCUUGGAUCUUCUAGCAAUGCUUAGUUUAAUUACCUUGCGGAGCUCACUUAUCUUUAUUUGAUGACUGCUCAAGAAAGGUCGAGAAGUACCGCUUCCUACUAGAUGAAGUGGACGCUGUACAUAUAUAAUGUGAUCCGAUAGCUCAUAAAUCAACUCGACUUAAUUCUCUUGUACCGACGGCGCCGUAUAAUGUACAGAUAUAUAAUGUGAUCCGUUAUCUCUCUUUUUACAGGAAUAAACCCAGUGUGAUCCUCAGGUGCACUAGCAAACAGCCAUCAAUGACAGUGGGCCCGCAAAAGGAGCCUUUACACUAUUGGCCGCCGUGCACCGUGCACGCCGCUGGCCUGGCCCUUGGCCCGCGCGGAUUCGUGGUACGACGGCGACGACCUCCAUUUUUUUUUUCUUUUUUUGCUGGGGCGAGGGCAAAGCAACCCGCGAACCUUCCACCGCCACCAGCAGCCGUGGACGGUGGACCCCCAACAGCGCUGGCAGCUUGUGGCCUCAUCCCCCGUGGCUCUUUGCGGAGUCGGUCGGUGCUGAGUCGCCGCCCAAGUGAUCUACCAGGACCGGGUCCAGCGUGAGGUGUUUCAGCCACAGGGGACGAGAGGAAGAAGGAGAGAGGACAUGGCCGCUUCGUGCUCCGCGUACAAACACCCAGGAGGGCUACAGCGCCGAUUAAUGCCGCCUGUCUGCGUGCUGACGCGACAGUGGUUGGUGGACCUGGUCCACGGCAAGGCUAAUUAGUUGCCGCAAGGAAAAGACAAGGUACACCACCACCGUACCGGUUGAAUUGGUCCUGGCUUUUCUAUUGCUUUGCUUGUGUGACUUAGCAUUAAAAGCAUAUUUCUUAGUGUUAAACAAGGAAAAGGAAAAGAGGAAGGAGAGAUUAAGACAGAAAUGGUACACGGGAAGUGUAAUAAUCACCACUUAAAAAUAUUCCAAUCUCCUUUCCUAAAAGUCUAGGGAAGUCUUAUUCAAACAUUGCAAUUUCAUAUUUGCAUCUAAAUGCUGCAACACGCUAGCACAUAAUAAAAUUAUAGUGAUUUUUUUUAAUAAAACGUGAUAGUGAAUGUGAGUCACCGGAUUACUAGAGAUGGUCGGUGAAGAUACCGAACCGUACUUUUUUGGGCGAGGGAACCGCAUCGUGAAGUUACCGUGAAAGAAAUACUUAAUUUUUUAUCACACUAUUUUUUUUAGCAUCCCCUAAAAGUUGCACAGCAUCAUGACAAUUCUGAAUGGCGUGUACAAGUACAACCUUUAUCAAAAUAGGAGUACAAAAGAUGAAUAAAGCUUAAAAUUCACGGAAAAAGGGCAACGGAUAUAUAAGCAUGGACCGAGUCCACGGAUCACUGACGCGCACUGCGUUGGCACGCAGCAUUGCAGCAACCAGCAAGCAGGCAGAGGCGCGGAGCCAGAGCUCUCGGCCUCUCACAACGCGGACGCGGCGCCGGAAGAGCCCUUCCCUUUCCCUCUCCCCCCUUUCGAAACGAGGCAUCCGAGGUGGCCAACCGCAGGCGGGCGCCAUGAAGUCGGCGGCGGCGCUGAGGCCGCACAAGGCGCCGCCGGCGCGCGUGCCCACGCGGUGCGUCGCCGCGCUCUGCGCCGCCUGCUUCCUCCUUGGCGUCUGCGUCGUCAACAGGUGCGUCCGCCUUCGCCCCCCCAAAUCCGGCGUCCUUUCUGAUGGAGUCCCCGCCCGCCUCCAGUCCCUCGCUGCUCUGGUUUUGCGUUCAUCAAUCUGUCCUCUGCGCCGCGGAUUGAGACAAUGCUCAUCCAUUUUGAGGCCGGAAAUGGUGUUAUUGGUGUACAUUUGUGUGCUUCUUGCAGGUACUGGCCAGUUCCUGAGCACCCCGGUUGCCCGGACAAGGUAAUACAUAUUUUGUUUUCAGAUUUCUUCUCCUCUCCCUUUCAUGUUCCUACGGAUGCGCACUGACAUUCGGUCUCCAAUUUUCCAGGCAAGCUCUGACCACUCGAGGGCCGCGUUGAACCAAGUGUCACAGACUCGUGAAGUCAUCAUGUAAUGCCACGGACUUCAGUUCUGGAUACUCGAAAAUAAACUUCUUCGGUUCUGAAUUUACCUGAAGCAAGUAUGGAAUUGUUAUGGUGUAUUGGUGUUUCGAUCGCAGGGCUUUGGAUAAGACGAUAUCUGACAUCGAGAUGCGCCUGGCUGCUGCUAGAGCCGCCCAGGCGAUGAGCCAGGGCAUGUCGCCAAGUGAUUCAGAGGAGGACCAGGGAAGCAUGCGGCAUAGGAUGUCUUUUGUCAUGGGCGUUUUCACCACUUUUGCUAACCGUAAGAGGAGGAACUCAAUAAGGCAGACAUGGAUGCCGCAAGGUAGAUGGCUCAUCUUUAUUUUUUGUACUGCGAAGCCUUUGUUUCAUAUGAAAUGUUGAACGUUUGUAGGUGAUCAGCUACGGAGAUUGGAAGAGAAGGGCGUUAUUAUCCGUUUUGUAAUUGGACGCAGGUAUGGCCCUGUUUGGAGUUGGGGAUAAAAACAAACAAUGACAGAAUGUUCUUCUGUGGUAUCUUCCUGAAAGUGGGGAUUCUUUCUUGUAGUGAAAAUCCAAAUCCUGACAAUGAGGUGGACCGUGCAAUUGAUGCAGAAGAUAAAGAAUACCAUGAUAUUUUGAGACUUGUAUGUUCAGUUGAUAUCAACUUUCUUUUUUCAGUGACCCACACAACUGAUGUGUUUGCAACAUUGAUCAUCCUUUACAGAAUCAUGUGGAAGGCCAUGGAGGGCUCCCUAUGAAGAUUCAGAUGUUCCUUUCAACUGCCCUUACCAUGUGGGAUGCUGAUUUCUAUGUAAAAGCUGAUGAUAAUGUCCAUGUCAACAUUGGUAUGCCAACACGAGGACCUUUCAAUUUUGAUCAAUCUGGUAUAGCAUCAGUGCACUAAACUGAGAUUGGAGGGACUCUUUCAAUACAGGUAUCACCAGAUCUAUUUUGGCACGACACAGGAUGAAACCUCGGGUGUACAUUGGCUGCAUGAAAUCCGGACCUGUUGUUACUAAAAAGUAACGUUCCAUAAAUCCAUACUUUCAUUUUUCACAUUUUAUGGAAUUUACAAACAUGGUUCAUCUCCAUACCGAUUGAACAAUCGAGAUCACACUUUCACAUUUACUCAUUAUAAGGACAUUUCUUAUUAGAUACUCCCUAACAGAUAGGUUCGUCUUACCAAGAUUUGUUCUCAGAAAUGGCAUAACAAAGUUCCUGUUUAAUGUUAACAGUGACUCCAAGUAUUACGAACCAGAUCAUUGGAAGUUUGGGACCGAGGGUAACAACUAUUUUAGGCAUGCAACGCGGCAACUGUAUGCUGUUACCAGGGAUUUAGCAACCUACAUAUCAGCAAACCGGUGAGUUGUAAUGAUCGUGUGCAAUAAUAUACCAGAUUAACUCAAUGUUUAAUUCAUUUUUUUGACACCACUUUCAGGCAUAUCCUGCACAAGUAUUCAAAUGAAGAUGUAUCAUUUGGCUCUUGGUUGAUUGGGUUGGAAGUCGAGCAUGUUGAUGAGAGAAGCCUUUGCUGUGGUACUCCUCCAGGUUGGCACCUGCAUCUUACACUCAAAAAAUUUUCAUGCUUCUUCGGUAAUUUACUCCUGCUGCGACUAGUUAGUUAUUGCAUGCUCAUUGGGAUAUUGGCAUGAUUUUGCUUAACCUGGGAGUUAGUUGCUUUACUGUACUAGUUAGUUGAGCAUUUUUUUGAAGUUUCUAGUAAGAAAGGGAUGAUAUGAAUGCGUAACAACCACACCACUGGCUAGCAUCCAUCUUCAUUAGUCAAAACAUGCUUUCUCCAGCUUUCUGUCCUCUGCUUACCAGCAACAGCACCAUACUUUAACCAAACAUGCCCAUAGCUGACAAAUUGGUUUUUCAACAACAGUCACACCAAUACAAUACAAGACCUCUGAUCAUUUGUCACUGGCCCUAGGCACCAGGCGGUAGGCAGACCAGUGCUAACACCUAAUCGGGUGAUUAGCAGGCUAGGCAGCUUGGUGGGAUGGUAGGGCCUAGCACCUCAGCAUCACUUAGGUGCUCUAGGCAUCCAACUUGGGCAACAAUGGAGCCUGCAAUUGAAUUUCAUUCAUGUGAACACUACUAACAUUGAGCAGUAGAUGUAGAUGAUUACUUUUGAACAAACUCGAAAUACAAUGAUGCCAAUGUCACGUGGAAAAUUUUCCUGCCACUGUUUGCUAGUGUACUCUGUGCUGACCAUCUGCAGCAAAAGCUUUUUUUCUGUCAGACUCUUGGUUGGCAUGGUUCUAUCUUUUCAUGUUCAAUGCUUCUGUAAUUGGUACUAUUCCUUGUCUUUGGGAAUUAAUGUGCUCCGCGUACCUGGCCAAUCAUUAUCUGAUCAUUAUGGCAUGCUUUCAGUUGCACCUAAAUGGUAUCUUUAGUUCAUUGGCCUGGAAUGUUUACCUGUCAAGCAUCUAUUUACCUGUCAUGUUGCAAACCUUUUCGGGUCACUGUUCAGGUUACAGUGUGUUACCUCUCAUAAAGUCUUACUAUACCCCUGCACAUGUUUCAUGCAUCUCUGAUGAUCUUGCAGACUGCGAAUGGAAAGCGCAGGCCGGAAACCCGUGUGCGGCGUCCUUUGACUGGAAUUGCACGGGCAUCUGCAACCCGGUGGAGAGGAUGACGGAGGUGCACCGGCGAUGCUGGGAAGGCCGCGGCGGAACCGAAGGGCACGCACAGUUUUGACAGCCAGGGGACAUGGCAUCGUUGUACCAUUUCUUCUGUAGGGCUCUGUAAUUAGUCGAGAAACGCGCUUGGUAUGCAAUGGUCCAGUUUUUCAGAUGUGCAGCAACAUAUGCCAUCUUUUCCUGGCCAGUUGCAUGUGGAAGACGGGAGAGGGUGAAAGAUGAGGACCAUGAACCAGUGACGAGACCUCACUGGAUUCUUGCCGUGGUAUAUUGGUAGACUGAUCUCUGAAGAAUUUUCGAUAUAUGAGUUCUCCAGAUUUAAUUUAUCUUCUUAAAAAAAAAGAGUUCUCUAGAUUUGUCUUUGAUUCUGAAGUGGAGGAUCUGGUUUCUCUUCCAAAAGAAGGGAUACGGAAAGCUUCCUGUCAGAAUUCUGGGCUCACAUGGAAACUCCAAUGGAUCCAUCACACGCAUGAAAACAAAUCCGCUAUCUUUUUUAAAACUUUUUGCACAAGUAUAUUGUGAUGUUGAGAAAGUGUUCCAUUUAUUUGAUGUAUACAGACGGAAUUACAGAUACUACAUGUGAAGUACGUUUAUUUUCCCUUACGAAAUAUAGAAAUACACGCCGGGUACAUGUGCGGCCACAUGGAUAUACAUCGAGCACAGAAGAAGAUACGGAAAUACAUGUAUAGGAAAAAAUCAUUAUUACAUUAUACGGUUACACGGAUACAUGCCGUGUAGACGUGUACUCUCAUACGUGGCACUACGGAGCCGUCCACCACGGACACGGAGCCCAGGCAGCGCAGCAGAGGCCAGGGGUGGCACGAAUCGCCGUCGCCUCCGUCGCCCGCCUCCUUCUCCAAGCAAACGGAACUGAAAAGGCCCAGCCCCGACGCCGCCACCCGGCCUCUCCAUCCGCCGCUCGCCUCCCUUUCCUCCUGCUCCUCCUCCCGGCGCCUCCUCGUCACCCUCCGCGCCGCUCCACUCCACUCCCUCCCCGUCUCCUCCCCGCUACAUGGGAGCGCGGGCUCCCUAGGGUGCCCCCCCCGCCGCCGCCGCCAUGUUCGAGAGGGUGGUGAGCCAGGUGCUCGCCGGCCUCCUCGGCCGCUACGUCAAGGGCAUCCAGAAGGAGCAGCUUAAGAUCGGCUUCUGGAACGGUCAGUCCUCGAUCCCGCCUCCCCUCCUCUCUAGCGCCCGCUUCGCCCAAUCACGGCGGUUGCCUCAACCCCGAAAAACGCAGUAAUUCGUGCCUGUCCUGUUGCCCCGCAGCAUUUGUUUUCGAAUUCCGUGACAGCGUUUGGUGUUCCUCUAGUUUUGGCUUCCAUCACAGUGUAGUAGUUCUCCUGCCUGAUCAGUGCCGGGUUUGAUCGGACUGCGGGGUUUAUCUGCAGUUUGCGCAUUGUUCAGUGUUACAGUUAUUUUAGUAAGACAUGGUUUGCUAAGUAAUUCCUCGUAGUGAACUUAAUGGCUUCGGCUCGUGACAGUGCUGUGUGUGUGAUCGUGAUUGUGUUUUUGAUGACCCCAUGUGCUGCAGAGGAAAUACUGCUGAAAAAUGUAGAGCUGAUUCUGGAAGCCUUUGACUACCUGCAGCUGCCAUUCGCACUGAAGAAUGGUAUUGAUUUCCUGAUGCAAUUUAGUGUUUUCCUGUAUGUUAACCAUUGCAUAGUUGUCAAAUUUUAGUUCUGUUCUGCUGCUGUGCAGGGCGAAUUGGGAAGCUAAGCAUCAGGAUUCCAUGGAAAAAGCUUGGAUGGGACCCUAUUAUUAUUGUCAUAGAAGAUGUCUUUGUUUGUGCAUGCCCGCGGGAGGACUCUGAGGCAUGGCAUUGAAUUUUGGACGUAUUACACUGCUCAAUUUGCUCGUCACAUAUGUUUGCACCUUUUUGACCAAUGAAUUCUUUGUUUCUUGAUCAGUGGAGCUCAGAUUCUCUGGAUAAGAGAGAACUAGCUGGAAAGUUGGCUAAACUUAAUGCCAUUGAGCUUGCUAAAUUUUCCAGAAGAGUUACAGGUCAGCCUUCAUACCCAUGUUCCUUAUAGGCUGUUUGGAUUUAUUUGAUAGAGGGUUGUGAUUGGGAUUGGGAUAAGGAUAUGUUAAUGGGGUAGUUUUAAUCCUCAAUUGAAAAAGAUGAAGGGUUAGGAUUAGCCUACCCUCGUAUCCUGAUCCCUUAUGCCAUCUAUGUAUCCCCAAAUCAAAAUACCCUUCUGUUGGUUCAGUAAAUUUCAAAAAGUCAUUUUAUCUUUAUGAUAAUUUACUUCACUGUUAGCUUAACAAGUUCAGUUGCGUAUUCUAGGGGUAGCUUUAGUUUUCGGAUUGUCACAUUUUUGUUUAUUUUUCUACUGCAUGCCCUUUCUAUUCUAUUGAAUAUAAAAUUUCACUGAACUGGUAACAUAGACAAAACCUCACAAUUUUCAUGUCAUAUAUACUAAGUAUGCGUUUAAGUCUAUAAGAUGUGUUUAUCAAGGAACCUUCGAAAAAAGAUUUGAAGAUUUCCAAUAAUAAACUCUUUGCAAUCACUUGCUAACAUAUUUCUUGUACUUAAAUUUAUCCAAAUUUAACGUAAUUGCUGUAAAUCUCGUGUGUGUUCAGAAGAGUUAUGCAAUUUACACUAUUCAUGACCUUCCUAUUCUUUUGACCUUCAGAUAACCAAACGGGCCAGUCAUUUUUAUCCUACAUAUCGGCAAAGGUAUCAAACUUGCAUUAUUUCGCUCAAACAUCAGUAAUUUUGAAGGCCGUGCUGAAACAUAGGUUAUUUUAUUGGUUUUGUUUGACUCCUGAUGGCAGAUACUGGACAAUAUCCAAGUUUCUAUGCGAAAUUUUCAUAUCGUAUACAUGGAUACUCACAAUGAUCAAGUACGUCUGUUUGUAUUCUAUUAUUCAGUGGUGUGCAUGGUUUUGUUUCAGUUGGCAUCUAAGUUUGGUUUCCCAUGAAGAUGAGGAAAUACCCAAAUUCUUUUUUCGUAUGAUAUCACAAUGACGGCUGAAUUUAAUUUGUAAUCUUAACCUCUGCCCUUUUGAAAGGAAAAAAAAUCCAUGUGUCCCUCUUUAGUCUAUUGCCCUUCUGAAAUCGUAAUUUGGUUGCUUGAAAUAGAUAUCCAAAUAACAUCUAAUGGGCAUUUCCUUCUGCCAGCAACCUAGUUUCAGUGUACUUCACCCACUUUUGUUCUUACAUCUACCGUUCUACUCUGACAUCUUUCUAUUUUUCUUGGUGAAAUGUCAAUAGGGGAACUUUGUAUUUGGUUUGGAAUUCUCCAGUCUCUCAAUACAAACAGAUACUCAGAAGCAAAGUUUUACCAUGUGAGCUCAUCCAAUCAUUUCAUUCCUUUGUUCUAGAAAAAAAGCUAGAUUUUGAGAACAAAAGCUUCCACUAUGCUAGUUAAGUUCUUCUCCGUUUACAACUUUUUCAUCAUGGAAGAUUAGGAUUAGAGGAUAUGUUCUGUUUAGAAAAUAUAUAAUUUUGGAACAGAUGAAACUGAGACACAAUUAGUAAAAAAGAAUUUGACCACGGCCAGAGGGGUGUUGUCUUAAAAGAAGGGGAGUGCUGAACCCUGGCCGGCGAGGAAAGCUCGCUGAAACCCGGUUUGAGCCUGGUGGAUGGUCUCCUUGAUGGGAGACUGUACCAACUGAGCUCGCUCGGUUCUCAGAUGCAAUUACUAAGAAAUAAUGGAAAAAUGCUUGCGAUUAUGUGGAAAUACCUUAGUGUCGUAUCAUAUUGGGAAUAUUGCCAGCUUAACAUGGAAGCAUACUGUAGAAACUACCAUUACACAUUAAUGCCUCAACUCUUGAAGGAGCACAAAACUACAAGUGGAUAGUUUGCUUUUUUACUUUAAAGUUCUGUCUUUGGAGUUUCCUUUGGUGCUCUAGAUUUGCUUAAUGGAGCACAACCUGAUUUUAUUUGCGGAUAAAAGCGCUCAUUUUUCUGGUGUGAAAACUGUUAGGAAGGUUUUACGCUGUCGUUAAAAUUUUCUCUCACAUAUUGUCAUGGACUUUAUAAUGGUUAUGGAAUAGAAACAUUGUUGCCAUAUACUUUGUAAGCUCACAGACAUGGUAUUCCAUGCAAUUGAUUCAAACCUAUAUUUAUACUCUGUAUACAAUACAUUAAUGUUCAUCGUCUUUCUGUGCAGGUCAUUGAUGGCUAGGUCUAGACAAGAUGAAGUAAACAAGAUAAUAGAGAUAUCAGAUGUUGGAAUUUACUGUCAUCAGUUAGAAGAACAGCAGGACCUAUGCAAUGUUGGUGCUCUUGGAAAUGGCCACUCAAGGGAUGAUUAUCUUGUAAAUCCAUUUUCUGUGACUGUGUCUGUCCUUGUAAGUGCAUUGUUCCCUCAACAUGUUUCCAUCAAUGUCGAUACUGUCAUCAGUCUUCUUUUUCCAAAAGGCUUCCAGAGCUUUCUGAAUACUCUCAUAUUUACUUAGUUGCCUUUUUUUUUAAUGUGAUCAGCUUGAUCUAAUGCAAUCAUGUCUUUAUUGUAGGCUAACAAAGCUGCAAAGCUUGAUGGUGCCCCUCAGUAUGACAUGACUGUAGAGCUAAGUGCAUUGGUUCGUUUUGUAAUUUUUUCUAGAUGUCUAAUUUCAUAUGUAGAUAGAGUAUCAUCUGUGAUGAACUUCAGGAUUGAUCUGAGCACCUGCUUAUAUUUCCAUCUUGUCUGUAGGCACUAUCAGUUGAUGAGAUCCAGCUCCAGCAAAUCUUAAAUCUUUAUGAUUACUUCACUAUCUGUGAUUUGCGAACAAAGUAAGUUAUUCUAAAGAUGACUAAAAACUCCUACCUUGUUAUCCUAUUAAUAAAAUCCACUACCAUUCAUUUUGUAUAUGGAAACCAUGGGUUUCUUUUGUUUUUCCAUAAAAGAUCUUGUUCCUGACUUAAAGUCAUUGCCUGUUCACUUGCCCCUGAUCCUUCUACCUUCAAAUAGAUAAGGUUGUGAUGCCUGAUAACUGCCGCAAUAUAGCCAGUAAAUGGGCAAUGGAAUUUGCAACAGAUCAUCUCUCCCAUAACAAUAUGUUACGAUGGAAUUAAUGUCUUUGAAUAUAUGGAACUCAUUUGGUUUACUGAUUUGUUUAAUGUGAACAAGGGAUGCCAGAUUUUGAGUUACCUAUAAUAUCUGAUGCAACAAGUGAGUCUUAACAAUAUUCCUGUAACUUCCACAGAUAUGGUCGUUACCGCCCAUCUCAAAGCUCUUUAUCUAAGAGACACAAAGGUUGGCAGAGAAGGUGGUGGCAGUAUGCUCAGAAUUCAGUAUUAGCAGAUGUUCGCAGAAGACUGAAGAAAACUUCAUGGCGUUAUUUUAAGCAGCGACUGUAAGUUUGUCUUUCCUUGUUCAAUUUGAUUGCGACAGAAUUACUAUAUCAGUUGAAUGGUACAAUAUGGGCACAGUGAAUUUGAAGUUUCUUGAAAGAAUUUAUGGCAAUAAAGAACUGCUGCGUGGUUUGAUGGUCUUCUUUUGUGUCAUGGUUAGGUUGUCAAUCACAGCAAAUGCAUUAAAUGGUUUCAUGAAUAUGUUUUAGUUUCUCUUUUCUGCUAGCAAGCUUCAGGGAGCUCAGACCAAAAUAAAGCAUAGAGCCUAUCUGCUGACAGAUAGGAAUAUUAAAAAAAAUCCAUUGUGCCAUAGAUGAUACCUGAAAUUGAUGAUCUGGUUUUCCUGUUGUAAUCCUAGAAACAUCACUCUUGAUUUGGGUCCAUCAGCAGAAGGCAGUACCUUAAAAAUAGGCACACGGCUUUCAAUUAGGUCUGAUUGUGAGAACACCUUUCACGUUUAUCAUUCAUUAUUCACUUAUCAGUACUGCCUCAUUUUGGUCCUGUACUAGCGCUUCGCUGUUUGGUGAUCUUACUUAAGGUAGAACAAUACUUGCAUCUUUUGCUUACACGGCAUUGUUUUAAUCUACCGUUUUCCUUUCUAUUGGAUUAAAACUUCCAGUACAUUUAAAUAUUGUGUGUUUUCUAUACAUUUGGCAGCAAUUACCGCCUAGGAUACGUCAAAUUGUACCGAAUGAAAUUGGAACUUCUGCAGAAAGGACAGGUAUUCAUUUAUUCAUGAACUUUCAUUUUUCAUGAUUCUGAAGUACAAUAAACAAUUGUUAUAGUGCAAAUGUACAAUGAAUCAAGGCUGGGUAGCUGUAACUUUGUUUCGCAAAAAAAAAAGGGUAGCUGUAACUUUGCUUACUGAUUCCAACCUUUUAAAGUUUACACAUAAAUCCUAUGCAUGUGGUCCUGUCAGUUUUCACUGCUGUUUUGGCAAAAAGAUGCUGAUUCUCACAUUGAGCUCACCAUACCUAUAUUUGGAAUUUGGUCACACUGGCUAUAUAACCCCUUAUUUGUAUGUUGUUUCCCUCUUCCAAGUAAACAAUAUUUAUCGAUGAAUUUUCUCUCUAGAGAAAUUUCCGAAUUAAAGUUUAGAUUGUAUUGUAUCAGGAGAUUUUUCCUUUAUGUAUAUACAUAUGGUUUCUACGUGUCAUGUUUUUCAUGAAUUUAUAUGUUUGCUUUUUUCAGAUUGUUAGUAAAGACAUUCUACAAGAGCUGGAAAAUAUGGACAAAGAAUGUGAUAUAGAUGACAUACUUAACUACAGAACAAUGGCAGAGCAACAACUGCAGGUAGUUGAUGCUUCUAUUAGAAGAAUGUGUGUGGGUGAUUGUGAAUUAUUUUGUUCAGUUUAGCCACUAGGGUUGAAAACGUGACCUAAACAUUUUGACCACUGUGAUUGAAUUUGUAUCUACCUGCAUUUCAUAUAUAACAUCCAUGAUUCAUGGUUGGUACACCACUUGGGCUGGGAAGUACCUGUUUAAGUUGGUUUGAUGCUGUUUGAACUAUCGUUAGCCUUGGAAGCUAAGCAAAUAUUGGCUCUCCAAGGCUUACACAUAGUGGGCUCUAGUUUCCUGUUGGUACAUAUCUGUAUGUGCAUCAUAUCUGAAGUGUUGUAGUAACUCAGGGGUGACUUUGACACCAAAAAUGCUGUUCAGGUCUUUCUGUUCAUGAAUCGUUUGGCACAUCAAAUACCAGCUGCUGGAAAAAAGAAACUGUUUGAGGCAAUUGCUGUGACCUGCUGAAAACCCUGAUUGAAGGCACUUGCUGUGAAGGACUACCAAAUCGCAUGUCAUGUAUAUGUUCUUUAAAGUGGGACUGAACCAGGAGUAUUAUAACUUCUCUUUUUUGGGUAGAAAGUAACUUUGAUACAUUUAUGCUUCCUAGAAGAAUAAACAUUAUGUUUGUCUAGUGCAUGCAGUAUUGGAAGGUAUAUAUAUCUUUAGUUGUUCAUUCUUCGCAUUUUUCCUAUAUUCUUGUUUAAGAAUGUAUUUCCUUGUUUUUCAGCGUUAUCUAUGGUAACACCUCACUGAUAAUUGGCAGGAAUCAUUGGUGAAAUCUACACAAGAUACGUCUAGUCCAGGAAGUCCUCGAACUGAUGAACAGUCGGCAGGGGCAAGCCGGGGGUGGCUAAACUGGCUUUCUCUUGGAAUGCUUGGUGCUGGUGGAACAGCUGACAGUAGCUCAUUUGCUGGUGUUGUUUCUGAAGACAUUAUUAAGGUUAUACUUUAUAGCCCUUGACUUAUUCUGCUUAUGUGGUUAAUUCUUUUUUUUUUCCUUGAACGUGGCUAACCAGUUUUAUGCAGUAAGUUUUUAGGAACAGGCAGUUCUGAGAUCAUUAUUUUCCGUUUCAGGAUAUAUACGAGGGAACAGAAUUUCAUCCCGUUUCUUCUGCUGAAUAUUAUUUGACGAAAGAAAACUACUAUUCUUUGUUUGUUAGACUAUCUGUUUCUCAGAUAGUCACAACUGUCGCCUCCAGGCAAGUGUUGCAAUUCUUUUGUCUUUUAUGGCCUUUCUAUAACUAGUAAAGUUAGCUACUCAAAAGGUUUGACAACCCUAGUAAGUAAAAUGCACCCAGGGUCCUUAAAACUUCCCUUGGAUUCUCAUAUAGGUCCAUAAACUCUCAAAGUGAGCAUCUGGUUCCUUAAAGCUUUUCAAGUUGUCCACUAUAGGUCCAAUAAUGGUCUUAUGGACCCAGAUGCUCACUUUGAGAGUUCAUGAAUCUAGAUGAGAAUCCAUGAAAAGUUUAAGGAUCCCGGGUGCACUUUACUCCUAUUCUAUCAUGGCUCUAAAGAUUGUCUCCGCUUAGGGCGUGUUUGGUUCUGCGCCAGACUCCGCCAUGCCACAAGCGAGGCGGCCCUAGAGAAAACCUGGUGCUGUUUGGUUGCUUCUUUGCUUUUAGCACGCCACACGAUACACCGUUGUUUGCGGUGCGUUUUCUCGCCUCAACUAUAGCCUUGCGGCACCUGCUGUGCGGCAGGGUGUGGCCGGCAACCAAACACGCCCUUAGUCUUUAUAAGAGUUCUAACAACUCGCUAGGGAGGAAAAUGCAUCAACUUAAAAGAUGUGUCGUGGUGGCAAUUGAACUUGAAGUAUUUUAUUCUGAAUGUUCACAAAUACUAGCAGCUUUGUGGGGAUACUGAAGUGUUAGGUUUUAUAGGAUUCUGUGUGGCCUAAUUGAGAGUUCCAACAACUUGCAUGAAAAACUGCCAUCAGAAAGCCAUGUUUGGUUAUUUUGUAAGAGUUGCCCAGGAUGAUCUUAUCCUGAGCUUGCCCAAAAAGCCUUAGAGUCCCAAGCAAGUAAUGGUAAAAAUGCAUUGUAUGUUGGACAUAAAUAAAUGCAGAUUUACUACAUUUUCAUCAUUUAAUUCAUCAUGUGUCCUUCCAGGUUAUUUGUUCUUUUUUUGUCAGAUGCGUAUAUAACACUAGCAACUCAAAAAUUCAAUAUUUUAAGUUCAAUUAUUUGCAGCCAAUGGUCAAGAUUUCUUUUGCUGCAUGAAUGAUUUAACGUAGAGGGAUGAGAGGCCCUUUGUUAUCGACUAACUUUUCUGCGCAUUGGUGGUCUAGGCGGUUCGGCAUGAAGCUUGUAGAUGCAGUGUUUGCUGGGCUUGGUAUGGAAUUGAAAAAAUGGGAUGAUUCAGCAACUAUUCUUGCCUGGCUUGAUUCUCUUCAAGUUAUCAACCCGUCAAAUGAUAUGAAAAUCUUAAUGGCCGAAAAGGUACAAUGUGGUUUAAUCCUCAAUCUUUUUUGUUCCAUUUUGUGGGAUGCUUAUUUCUUAAAUUGGUACAUAUUUUAGUGUAGCACUGGUGAUGGUCUCGGGGCACCUGUUAUCAGUAUCCAAGUUGACUUUCCCAAGUCAAACCAAGGAUCAGAAGCUUCAACAAGAGUACUUAUGUUCAUUUCUAUAGAGUUAGAAAUAAAGUUAUUGGCUUAUUGCACAUGCGGUGUUCAUGAUUGUGCUGAUAUUAGUAUAUUGUCAUGUUCCAUUUCAGGUUGUUGUCCAGGAAUUCAGUGCCAUCUAUGAACCAGAAUUUUUGUUUAACGUCCUACACGUCUACGAUCUGUUUUCCUCUUUCCAGUUUCAGCAUGAUAGGGUAAGUCUUGUUGUUGUGCAUCCAUAUUCUAUUGUAGUCUAUUUUAUAUCUUCUUGCUUUGUUACUGUUACUGAGUUCUUAUGCAUAAAUUUAUUAAACAUAGCUAACACUGGUAAUUAAGAAAGAGAUGGAUGCAAUAGCCAAUAUGCAAUUGGUUUCCCAAGUGAGACUUUUUGAGAAUGUUUGGUACAAUAGAAGUUAGAAUGUUUGCUGUUGUAACCAUGGUCCCCUCUCUAUAAAUAUUUUUGUUCGUUUGCAAAAAUGCAAAAUCGCCUGACAUUAGCUCAUUUUUUUUCAUUUCUUUGUUGGUCCUUCAAAGUGUUUAAUUAUACUGUAUCGGUGGUAGAGAGACAUUGGAUAUUUCAUGCAGUUCUCUCUGUAAGCAAUGUUAUGCAUGGCUAUUCUGAUUUACGCAGGUGCUUUCCUCUCUAAAUCGGUUCGAUAAUUUGGGAGCACGACUUGUCUCAAAACUAAAGUAUCAACUCAUCUCCCCUUUCUUUUCUGUUCAUACCGUAGUAUGAUUGUAUACUUUGAGUAAUAUUUUGAACAUAAUUCAAGGUACAUGUCUUCUAAUCGUAAAAAGCUUAUUUGGGAUUUGAGGAUUCACCAUUUCGCCAUUAGGCUACCAUCACAGAAUUGUGAAAGGAAAGAACUUACCAUGGUAUGUGCUAAACUGCUAAUGCUAAAUAACAUUGUCUUAUAUAGUGCUCAAUCGGCAUGUUAAUACCUUGAUAUUUAUGUGAGCAUAAUUUCUACAUAUUAAGUUCCCAAAUUCAUAUUGGUAUUGAUGGCUACCAGUUUUCCCUGAACCCAACCAGAAUUUGAUAAACUGGCCUUGUUUAAUUUAUUUCAAGUUUGAAAUUUAAAUUUGACAUUUGAUAUGUUUGUAAAUAAGUCAUGGAAGCAAAUUUGGAAGAUGCGACUUUUUUGAAGGCCCCAUUUGCCUGUGUUGUUGUUUCAAAACAUGAGGCUCCUACAAAAUCAAUAGAUGCACUUGUCAGAAGAAAGAUCAUUCUAAUGAGUCUUAACUUAAUUAUCACCAUCUGCAUUUGUAGCUUCAAUUGGUUGAUUCAAUGGCUAGUUUUUCUUCUUUUUUUUAUCAUUGAACAAUUAUUGUAACUGCAGGUUGUUGAGGCUGGAGAUUUAUUCAUUCGGUCCAAAGAUAAUGCUGAGGAUGUUUCUCAGACACAAGAAAACAAUUCCUUUCUUGAUCGCAUAUCAAAAAGUCUUCCUAGUUAUUUUUCUGAUGAUAUGCUACUUGGUAUCCAGUUGGAUGAGCUUUAUAACCACUUUGAAGUUGGCCUUACUGGGUUUCAGGUCAGACAUGGUGCAUAAUUUGUUGUUCUGUUUUUUUGUUUAUUGAAUAUCUCCAUGAAACAACAAUAAAUGAUUGUUUGCAGGUGAAGGUAUUGCUGCCUGACAGACAUAAUGUUUCCUCCACACUGAUUAAACUUGAUGCUUCCAUCGCACUUCAAUUAUGUGUAUUCCUAGACGAACCAGUGCUAAAACAAUUGGAGGUGAGAUUUUUAAAGGACAAUGACAAUUUUGUCUUAAAUGAUCUGGUUCUGGUGUAACAGUACAAGUGUAUACUGAAGUUGGUUUACCAUGGUUUGUGCAAUGUGUUUGCUUACACAUUCUCUGUUGAUGUAAGUUUUUGUAAGCAGAAUUUUUUCUAAACUAUUAUUUUGGCAGGUUGGCUUUAUUGUGCCAUUCAUUGACAUGUACCUCUCUCAGACAAUGUACAGUGCUAUUGUUAAUUUGCCUACAGUGAAAGGAACUAACCUUGUCGGGAACGGUACAUUUGAUAAUGCCAAGACACAUGGACACAAGAAAUUAGCCUUAAAUAUGUCUGUCUCUCUCAAGCUAGCUAAGUUGGGUUUACAGAUUGACCUUGAUGGUAAUUAUGAUGAAAGUUCAGGUAUCAUGGUUGCUGUUGAAGACAUAGAUAUCAGGUUAAUAAUUGGCUACUAAUCUUGCAAUCUUGAUUUUUUUUACUGUUUUCUUUUUUUUUAUGUGUGGUUUGUUGUUGUAAUUUGUAGGUAUGCUGUCUGUGAAUUGUCAGACCUUUCUCUCGUCAUGAAGACGAUCAAUAUUACUUCCAAUAAGUGGAAGGAUGAAUCAGAUUCACAUGUGCUAUGUUUAUCAGGAAAUUUAACACAAUGUCCUGAAAAUUCUGUUGAAGCUUGCUUGAAUCUGCAUUACAGAACUCACAUGUAUGAUGAUCAAAUGCAUCAUGUGUACCAGCUAAAUAUACGUGAUGUUGAUCUGCAUGUUAACCCAUCUGUUAUUGGCCAGAUACGGAUGUUUUUGAGAAAUCUUGAUUCAGGACCUUCAGUCGGCAGUGUUAUUGAAUCAGCAAUGAUUGAUCAGGGUUCCAGGAAAUCCGGAGCAAAUAAUGGCAUGCUUCCCAAGUUUUCCUUGUCAAAUUUAUGUGGUGCAGAUGGCACACUAUUCACAGGGGUUUCUGUUGACCACUUUCCCUUUGUAGAUACAGAUUACACAUAUGGAUAUAGUUUUGGAUGCUUAGGAACUCAAGAUGUUCAAGCACAAGAAAGUUCAUAUUCAAAGAAUGAGCAAUGUCAUGAUUCUUCAGGUUUGAAUGGCUCUCAUGCAUCAGAUCUUGCGAGCAAUUCACUGUCUAUCACUCAGCAUGCAAACUGUUUAUCUACCUCAUCAAAUAACCACAAGAAUGUCAGCAGAACUGUUCUGGACCUAUCUCUUGUUUCAGUUAGAGUACAUUUCCCGGAAUCAUGUGGUACUUUAGCAACAAUUACCAUUCCUGAAUCUAUAGCAACACUCACUUUUUUUGACGCAAGCUCAUGGGACCUACUAUUGUCUGCAAACAAUUUGACUCUUGCUUCACCAUGGACUCCACCAAACAUCCAUGAGCUACUCUGGGGCACAUGUUCGCAUCAUAAUGCUAGCGUGCUCAAUGUCCGAGUUAAAAAAGACUUACCUGCACUGUCAACCGAAGUUUGUGUUGGAAUUCAAAAUGUUUGCUGUGUAUUGCCAUCAAAGUUACUGGCUAUGUUUGUUGGAUUCUUUUUGUUGGAUGACUGGAAUCCUAUAGCAGAACAGGAACACCCGUUGGCAGGUAACAAUCUUGAGUGCAUGGGAGAAUCACACGAUUGCAUAACAUACAAAUUUGAGAUCUGUGAUUGUGUCGUAAUUUUUCCUGUGGAAGAGCAAGAUUUCUUUUGUCUAAAGCUGGGAGUUCCACAUUUUUUCUGUGAGUUCAUUGCAACUGGAAGUUCUGUAGAAUUUGCAAAGCGUAUUCCCAAAGAAUUCUUCAGUUCGGAGUGCAUAGUUUCCAGUAGAGUUGAUGUCAUCUGCAUAUAUGCAAGAAAUGCAUCCAUAUCACUUCUAUUCGUAGGUGAACAAACAAAUUUUAUGCUGAAGCUUGAUGAGAAUAUUCCUAAGAGAAUCCAUUCUCUUAUUGAAAAGCUUGAUGCUGGCAUAUGGAUUCAGGUUCCUUGCAAAGAAAUAUCGUGGUCCCAGCAGCCUAUUUUGCCCACCUCAAUUAUGAGCAAAAUAUCACAAUGCAACUUGGUUGCUGAAGGUACCAGAUCAUUAUUGAUCUUGCUUUUUAACUUCUUGAGAUGUCUUUAUGUAAUAUUAACUUCUUGCAGUGCCAAAUCUUUUACUUCUUGAACUUUGUCAAAUCUUCUACAGAUCUCUAUUUUAUAAAUGGGAUGGAGACAGUUAUUGGUGUUAUUGACCAGUUAAUUUCGAUUGGCAAAGAAAGCAAAAUGUACAAUGGCAAUGCCUUGCAGUUUUUAGAACAUAGAAGUUUCAAUGAGGACAACCCUGACCCUAACGAGCGUACCAAUAUCACCAUUUCGAUCAAGGAUCUGAGGAUUCUCUUGGGUCGCUCGAAAGAUAAAAAUUUGGCACUGGAGAGGAUUGCCACUGCAAACCUGGAGUUUGGUGUUUCUGCUGUACUAAUUAGUGAAAAACCAGAGCGCAUGAACCUUGAGAUUGUUUCUUUAGCCCUGCAGUCACCCGGUGGUUACACUCUCAUCUCCAUUGUUUCUGAUGGGCCUCUAUCUCCUGUUUUCAUCAAGUUUACGAAGCACCAUGCUGGACAAGAUGAGAUAUUACUAAGUGUACCCCUUUUCGAGGUCUGGUUAUAUUUAGAGGAUUGGAAUACGAUUGUUAAUCAUUUCCAUUCAUAUGUAAAGAAAAAGGUAGACAGUUUGCCAAUGGAGCAUCCAGCAGCUUCGCCUCAAUUCCCAGAGACGACAUCAUCACCAUUUAUUGCAUCAGAAUUUAGUUCACGAGAUGAUCCCAACUUAGUGGUAACAUGCGAAAGUAUUGCUGGUGUUGUUCAUAUACCUAUCUGGGAGAAAGAAGAAAAUCACACAAGAAAUCACAUGGCCGGGACUCCCGCUUCUUUUACAGUGCAAAUGAGCACUCAUCAUGAGGCAGAUGAUAUUCAAUAUCGUGAACCAAAAGGUUGCAAGUUUGUCACCUUAACUUUUGAGAGUAAACAUUUUGUGGUGAUGUCAGGUGAUAGCUGCAUGAAUUUUAAAUGUGAUUUAGAGAGGAUGAAGAUAAUGCUGGAAAUGAUUCAAGAGAACAAGGGUACCUCUGUUCCAUUUCUGCAUAUAUCUAAGGUCAAAUCUUCUAGUUAUAUUCAUCAGUCAGCAAAGGGUUUGGAACAUGUUUCUGUUGAUCUACAAGCUGAAUACAUGGAUGCUAGUUUUUCGCACCAGAUAUUUAGCUUUUGGCGCAAUAUGGAACUCGAAUUUCCUGCUGCAUCAUCUGCACCCUCCUUUUGUUCUGUGACAUUCAAGGCAGGAUUAAGGAAAGGGUCUCUUCUUCUAAAUGAUGGAAGGGUAAGUAGUGUUCCAUUGAUGCUAGUCCUUGGACUUUAUUAAACUAGUUGCUUAUUAAAUGUUGGAAAUGUUUGGUUCAGCUAUGUGCAUCAAUACUGAUGCCCAUUGGAAGAUUAAAAAAAACAGUUCAAUUAUAUUGGCAUCAAAAGAGCAUCGUGAAAUGUUAAUGUGAAUUAUGUAAUGACAGAAACAUCACAAAAUGGACUAACUAUCAUAAAGCGUUAGAUGACAGGACAAAUUUUACUAGUACUAUUCACAGAUCAAUAUAUAAUUUGGUAAGCAGCAAGAUACAGAGAUGUUUUGAUCUAAAGAUGAAUUUGGACCACCAGACAUGAUCAGGCAAGGCAUGGGUUAUGUUUGUUUCAUUAUUUGGUAAUAUUAGAUAGAUUUGAGCAUAUUUCUGUAAUUUAGUUAAAAAAUAGAUUUGUAUAUAUUUUUAUGAACUUUUUAUACAUCAAAUAUGAUAUGUGGCAUUAUGUUUCAUUCAAGCUCUAACCUUAUACUCUUUGUUCUCGGUAAUUUUGACAGUGGAGCAGUCAUGGACCUGUAAUAGAGACCUUAUUGAAGAAUUUAACUGUGCAAUUUAGUCAAAUGAAGGAUCAGACAGAAGUUUCUGCUUUUGUUGACCUUCUAGUAAAUUACAACAACAUUGACAAGGUAAAAUAAUACUCUAUUCUUGCCUCUCAAAUUUUGGCUAUGAUGGUGCUGGAAUAACAACUUAUAUUUUUGUAGGUUAUGUGGGAACCUUUCAUAGAACCCUCAAGGUUUCAGCUAAAUAUGCUUAGAAAAUGUGCUGAUUGUGCGCUGGAUAUAUCACCCAGUACUGAUGUGUGUUUAAGUUCAAGCAAGCAGCUUAAUCUGAAUAUAUCAGAACCCUUAAUUGAGGUAUGUGAAUGUGAUUCUGGUAUACUGUGAUUUUUCUCUUGGCAUGAAGCAAAUGUUGUUAAUACUUUUACUAUCAGUAGCUUUAAGCGAUAGCUUUUGUAGUUUAAUUGCUGAUAAAAACAUUUCGAUUCAAGAAUCAGGAUAGUAAAUCAUUUCCCAUUUCUUUUAUAUCUGCUAUAUAUCUUUUUCAAGGAAAAUAAGAGGUUGGUGCAAGAUUUGGGUUUUGGGAAUUUUGAUCACUUGUAAUAGUAGAAUCUUGAUCCAGAUCACUUGUAAUGAUAGAAUGUAUAAUUAUCUAUGAGGCCCAGUUCUUAAAUUAUUGUUUUGAACUCUUCAUUUGCAUAUGCAGGCUAUCAUCAGACUUAGCAAGAUGAUAACAGAUUCUCUUGAUCCAAGUAAUGGUGGUGGUCUUCGAGAAGAUCCUGGAAUCUUGAGAUUAAGCCAUGAUGAUGUGCGUACCAGAAGAUAUGCACCAUACAUUCUCUCGAAUGACACAUCGUUGCCCUUUAGGUUCAAGGUGUACCGUGGUGCUGUUAAUUCAGAUGAUAUUGACAAUUUCUCUGUAAUAGAUGAAAACUUUGUGCCAGCAGGGUAUGCUGUCCCAAUUUACGUCGAAGAAACUCUUGAUGAAUUCUUUUUCCAACACAGAGAAGCACGAUCUUCUGAACAUCUCAUUGAGAAACGGAUGAAUGCUGUAUCACACUAUAUGAUCUCCAUUGAGUUUGAUGGAACGUCAGGGCCUUCAAAGCCAAUGUCAAUGGACCUUGUGGGCAUUUACUUCUUUGAAGUAAACUUCUCUUCAAGUAAAAAGCCAAUUCUCGGUGAAGAAAGUUUAGGAGCAUUUUCGUCUAAUAGAAAGGGUAACGAUGGGUUAAUUGUGCCUGUGGUGCUCGAUGUUUCCUUACAGAAUUACAGCAAGCGUAUACGAGUUUACUCAACGGUAAUGACUAAUGCCGUUUGAAUAAUCAAUUAACUCUACCAUUGGAUGUGUACACAUAUUAAUGGCCUCCUUUUCUAGGUUAUACUGUACAAUGAGACAUCAAUGCCCCUCGAAUUGAGGUUCGAUAUACCAUUUGGUGUAUCUUCAAAGGUACAUAAUUUCAACUUUGUAACAAUUUUUAACUCUUUAGAUGAACUUACUACUAGGAAAUUAAGUUGCAUUUCUAUGUCUUCAAAAUUUUCAUCUCUAUCCAAGGUUAAAAAAAAUCCACCAAAAGAACCAACUGUGAGAUUUCUUAUGUAAACUUUAUUCUUCAGGUAAUAGGGCCCAUUCCUCCAAACAAAGAGAUUCCACUGCCAGUUCAUUUGUCUGAAGCUGGCCAGAUUAGGUGGCAUCCUGUUGGCAGAACAUACCUAUGGAGUGAAACCCGCUCCCUAUCAAGUUUGCUUUCACGUGAAAGCAGGGUUGGGUUCAUGAAAUCAUCUGUUUGCUAUCCUGCUCACCCUAGUAAGGAUCCAUUUCGUUGCUGCAUAUCUGUUGAAGAGUACAAUGUCCCUUCAUCUAUAAGUACCCGGAAGGGUCAGUUCUGCAGUGAACGUUUGAACGCACAACCAGUUCUUGGAAGUUCUUCUCCAAGUAAUACUAAGCAGAGUUUGACAAGGACACAUUUUAUACGACAUGUGAGGCUUAAUACACCACUUCUCAUAAAGAACUAUCUCCCUGUGUGCAUUUCUUUGACAAUAGAUAACGGUGGGUCUGCACGUGUAGUUUCGCUAAAGGAGGUAAGGUUCUGGUGCCAUUCAUAUAUCUUAUCUCAGCUCAUUUGUUUUUUCACUUUCAAAGUUGUGAAUCAUAUUCACAGGUGGGCUCUGCCUCUGUUUUUUCUGUUGAUCCCUCCAACGAUCUUGGAAUUACAAUUGAUAUUCAAGAUUAUAGGUCCUUGGCCAUAAAGUUUCCCCGGGCCGAAUCGUUCUCUACUGCAGCCAAGUCAAAUGGCUUCAAAUUCUCCACAACAGAGACAAUUACUUUCUACUCGAAUCUGUCGAAUUGUAUGGAGUUCGGACUUCCUUUUUAUUUUUGAAGAACUUACGCCCACUAUAUAAUAAAGCUCUGAUGUCAAUUUGUUCUGCAGCUCCUCUUAAUGUUAUGCUGGAGAAAUCAAUGGAUGCUCGUUCUGGCGCAAGAGAGUUGUAUCUUUCUGUUCCAUUUUUGUUGUACAAUUGCACAGAUCUAUUGCUUACUGUCACUGAAAGCAGCUAUGAGAGAAGUGGAUCCACCCUUGUGAUUCCUCCUAGUUUUGAGUUGGAUGGACAUGCAAGGCAUUUGCUUGAAAAAAGUGGUCUUUCUCUUGUUGAUCCAUCCAUACAGUAAGUGUCUUUCUGUCCUUUAGAAUUCAGUUUUUAUGUCCGUUUUAACAAUCUGUACAAAUUUCUCUUACAGGCACGUUGUAGGCAAAAUGCCUGUGUUAGAUUUGAUGGAUGGAUCUUCUUCAGUGAUAAGUUGUACCAAUAACAGUGAGUCUGUAAAGAAAGAAUUUGACAAAGAGGUUAAAGCUUAUAUGUUUGCUCCUGAUGGACACACUCCAGCAACUGAACUUUCAGUUAAGUUGAAUGCAUAUCCACCUAAUAAUGGAACUGAAACAACUCGGCGAGAUUGGUCAAAUCCCUUCCUCCUUGUCCCUGGAAGUGGUUCAACAAAUAUUACUAUUCCUCAGUCAUCUACUUCUGGUGCCUUUUUAGUUGCAGCGGCAUCCAUACCUGUUUCAACUGAACUUUUUGGAAGGACAAGAGCUAUUGCUUUCAGACCAAGGUAAUUGAAUGGUUUCCAUUUCAUCAAGUUGUGGCGACAUAUUUGUUUCCAAUUGUCAUCCUUGUCUACCGCAACUUUAUAAAUAGUGUUGAAUUUUCCCUAUAUAAAAUGUUUCAGAGCACUAUAUUUGAGGAACUAUUCCAGUCAUUAGAAAGCAAAGCAACAAAAUAAUAGUUAUGUUCUUUGUUCCUACUAUUUUGCAGAUAUGUGAUAUGCAAUGCUUGCAGCAAUGAUUUGUUCUUUCGACAAAAAGGAACGAGGUUUUCUAAGCACUUAAGUUCUGGGCAACACUCUUUCCUUCACUGGUCUGAUACAGCAAGGUGAUUUGCAUCAUUUACUACCCUGUAUACCUUGGCAGUCUGGUUUGUUUGAACCUAUGAACUGUUUAACACAAAAAUUGGAUUUUUACGGUUUAGAUGCAUGCUGCAGAAAUCUGGAUUGAAAUUUUAUACAGCCCUACUUUCUCCAAUGAUGUGUUCAUGCCACAGUUGUUUACUAUAUACUGAUGUGACUUUAUAUUUAAAAAAUAUUAAAUGAAAAUGAAUCCUAUUCUUGCUUAUAUUUAAAAAUUGAAAGUGUACUAAACCUCAUUCUUAUCAGAGUGCUGUGUGUUGUAACUCUCUUCUUCUAUUAAUGCAAUGAUACACAGCUGUCCUGCGUGCUCGAGAAAAAAAAAAUCAGAGUGCUAUGCUCAUUUUGUUCUCUGUACAUCUUCCUAUAUUUUACUGUUUGUGCUGAACAACCUUGUUUUCAGAGAGUUGCUGGUAUCCAUUCGAUUUGAUGGGCCAGGAUGGCAAUGGUCGGGAAGUUUUUUCCCUGAUCACCUGGGAGAUGCUCAACUGAAAAUGAGGAAUAGUGCCUCAGGUGUAUCAUAUAUGGUUCGAGUUGAGGUUCAAAAUGCUGAUCUAGACAUACACAGCAAGAAAUUUUCUGGAAGAAACAAUAUCAAUACUGGUACAGUACUGAUUCUGCUUUCUGAUGACAAGACUGGGUUUGUACCUUACAGGAUCGACAAUUUUUCGAUGGAGGUAACUAGUUUGUGCUUCCUAGCUUUGUUUGGAAAUUGAAUUAUUAUCAUUCUUAUGAUUACUCUUUCAAUAAAUUCAGAAAUUGCGGAUAUAUCAGCAGAGAUGUGAAUCUAUUGAAACAAUUGUUUAUCCCUACACAUCCUGUGAAUAUGCUUGGGAUGAGCCUUGCUAUUCUCAUCGCCUUACUGUUGAGGUAUGUAGCUUGUUAUCAAUUUGACUUGUCUUAAACAAAUUAUGCAACAUUGAAUAGUUUUAAAAAAAAAAUUAUGCAACAUCGUUUCUCCCUCAUACUAUGUACAGAUUCCUGGAGAACGAAGUUUGGGUACAUUCAAUCUGGACAUUCUCAAUGAUGAUGUUCAUGUGUUGCUACCAUCCACAUCUGAGGUAAAUAAAUGUCUUCAAAUUUGAUUAGCAUGUCUCNNNNNNNNNNNNNNNNNNNNNNNNNNNNNNNNNNNNNNNNNNNNNNNNNNNNNNNNNNNNNNNNNNNNNNNNNNNNNNNNNNNNNNNNNNNNNNNNNNNNAAUUUGGAAGUCUUUAACUUCCAGUCCAGAAACGGUUUGUAUUUUUUGAGAAUGACAUCAAAUAAACGGAGAAAACUUGAUUGAUGCCUGUCUUUAUAUAUCGUAAUUGUCAGCUAAUUUUCACAUUUUUUUCCUUACGUUAAUAUAUGUCUUAUACAUAUCUUUUAUAAAUAUUUUUUUACAGAAACCUGAAAGGAAAUUUUGCAUUUCAGUACAUGCAGAAGGAGCAAUUAAGGUUGGUUUCAGGCCCACUAACUACCCUAGAACUGUUUGAUCCUUUUGUUUUAUCAAUUUUUGAUUUGCAAUCAUAAUAUGCAGGUGCUAAGUGUUAUUGAUUCAAACUGUCACAAUACGGAAACAAAAGAACCAAAGGAACCUAAAGUUGCUGAUCAGAAACUGGAGCUUGAGAUGAACUUUGCUGAAGUUAUCAACAUACACAUACCAUUCAUCGGGAUAUCUUUAAUAAGCUCUUCUCCCCAGGUGAACUCUCUAUGAGCUUUAGAUGAACUUUGCCUAAGUUAUCAAAAUACACUUGUUAAUCGUCAUUCAUUGGAAUAUAUUUAAUCCUACCGUCAUUUUUUUUCAUCGCUUACGGCUUAAGGGAAGUUUGUUUUACUAUACUUAUUUUUCUUUGGCAGGAAUUGUUGUUUGUUUCUGCCAAGGAGAUGACGAUCGUUGCCAUGCAGAGUUUAGAUCAGCAGCGAUUUACAGUUGAAAUACAAUCUAUGCAAAUCGAUAAUCAGUUCCCUGAUAGCCCACACCCUGUCAUGUUGUCGUUCGAGGGCAGUCAAAAGGGAAAAUCCAUGAAUUUUUUUAAGAGUAAAGAUACUAAACUGAGAUCAGCAAGUGACAAUCUUUCCAAUACCACAGAACCUGUGCUGCGGUUUGCUGCAGCUAAAUGGAGAACCAGAGAUGUCUCAUUUGUUUCCUACCAGUGUAUAAACAUAAGGUACUCCUUGCUCUUUGGUUACAUAUCAUUAUAUCUGUACUUAUAGUGACACUUUUUGUUUGUUGGUUGGCAGUGUAGCACCUGUUCGCCUUGAACUUGAAGAACGACUCGUAUUGAGCAUGAUUGAAUUUUUUAGAUCUGUUUCCUCUAGAAUAAAUCUUGGACACUUAGAGGAAAAUCUUGAGUUAAGUAUUUUAGGUGGUGCUACGGAUCUGUUAAGAGAAUAUGAAAAAAUCUCAAAGCACUUAUCGGACAAGCCCCUGGUGCAAGACAGUGAAUUGUUGCCUUCUGUUGUUCCAGUUGGUGCUCCAUGGCAACAGAUACACCUAUUAGCGAGAAAGCAGAAAAAGGUGCACAUUGAAUUGUUUCAGUUGACUCCUGUCAAGUUGACUUUCAGGUUAGCUCUUCUCUUUGUGGUCAUUACUGCAGGAAAAUAUGUAUAUCAACUUACCAUUGACAGACGUUUUCUGAUGUAGUUUUACAAGCACACCAUGGCUCAGUAGGAAUGAAUGUGGUUCGGAUCCCAGCACAGGUUUCAACAACACUACUGCGAUCCAGGUAGAGACACAUAUCGCUUAACAGAUUGAUCUCUUUUAUGAACAUUUUCUAUUUUUAUAGUGUUACUUAAUCCAGCCUCACAAUUGCUUAUUCAACAUAGCAGCCGUCUUUGCGUGUGUUUGUAACUUCAUUAUGCAUUGCAACUUCUUUACUAGAAUGGUAUAUACAAAAGAGCAUUUUUUCACUUUGGUUCUAUGGAUCUAUUCUACAAUAAUAACUGAUUCCCCACAAAAAGAAGUUCCAAUGUCAACUUCAGAAGAGAAAAAGGGCCUUGAAUGAGGUCAUUCUUUUUAACUAUAGGAACGCAUGAAUGAUUUUUGCUCAAUGUGCAACUACCAAAAUUGCCAUGGAUUGCAGACAAUGUCUCCCUGCUUCCGAAACUCUAAUGUUUAUGAUGUACAAUUAUAAGGUUGCUUAGUAAUAUUUUUUAGUAUGAAUAUAGAUUUAUCUCAAUGGUUCUUUUUUUCCAUCCACAUGCUUUUAGAUGUACGCAGUUCUCCUGCGUGUUCGAGAAAAAAAAAUGCUUUUAGAUAUUUGUUUGAUCUACUGGUAGUAUGUAUGAUCUGCAAAUUUGUUUUAGAAUGCAUUCUUUUGCCACUAAAUGGUGCCAUUUUGGUUGCAGAGAGGUCUUAUGGCCCUCUUAGAUGUUGAAGGAGUACCAGUUCACCUUGGAGAAAUAAUGGUGGAAAAUCUUAUGGCCAGUUGGCAAUCUGUUCAGGACAUUCUUGUGAGGCAUUAUAGCAGGCAAAUCCUCCAUGAACUUUACAAGGUAAAUGCUAGCAUCCAAAAUGGAACUGACUAGAAUGCAAAAUUUUAGCACGUAUUGAACAAUGUUUGAGUUUAGAAUGUGAGAUAUCUUAUCGCAUAAAGAAGACAUUAUUAAUUCAACCAGGGAAAAAAAUCUUGAGUGCUGUACCUGUCUGUGUGCAGCCUAGGGCUUAAAAUGUUGGUGACUCUGUAAUGAAUGUGGCAAACCUUACCUUUUUCCUGUUAAGCUUGAAAAGUGUCUCCUUUUCCAAAGUCUAUCUACAUGAAUUGGGAUCGACAUUUAUUAUGUUCUGCGGUUUAUUGCAGGUUUUAGGUUCUGCUGGCGUUAUAGGAAAUCCUAUGGGUUUUGCUAGGAAUGUUGGGUUUGGUUUAAAGGACUUCAUAUCUGCCUCAAGGAAAGGGAAAUUACAGGUUUGUAAAUGUGAAGUCUUAGCAGGAAUGUGCAUUAUUUAACCUUCCAUCUUAACAUCAAAGAUCUAUGUAUUGCUCUUUUUACAGAGUCCGGUUGAACUAUUAAACGGUUUAGCACAAGGUUCAAAAACUCUUAUUGGAAGUACAGUUUAUGCAGUCAGCAGCGCCACUUCACACUUCAGUAAAACUGCUUAUAAGGUAUUUAUGCUAAUGGCCAGUUUGAUCAUUAAAGGUGCAUUUCCUGGGAUCACUGCUAAGGAAUAAUUCCACUUUUCAGGGCCUUGUUGCCUUUACGUAUGAUGAGCAAGCUACUUCAAAAAUGGAAGAACGGGAAAGGCAGCUAGGUUUGCAUGGGGAAGGAGUACUGAAUGGGUUUCUAGAGGUAAAAGCCAUAUCUCUCUUGAUUGUGCAUUGUCAUCUGAUUUUAGCAAAUUUACAACCAAUGCCCCUUUGCACUUUGAAACUAAACCAUAGAUGACCUCAUUCUUGGGUCAUGAGGGCUACUUGAAAUGAAACUUAUCUUUCUACUUUAUUUUAUUUUUGCUUUUCACCAUACACCUCUUUGGACCUUUAUCUAAGCACCAUGUGUGUUCUGCACUGCAAUGAUUUCUGCAGGGUCUGACUGGGCUCCUCCAAUCACCAAUCCGGGGUGCUGAGAAACAUGGUCUUCCUGGGGUCAUCUCAGGUACUACGAUUCUAUUAAGCAUUCAUAUCUAUUUAUUAUUGUUUCCCAUAUUUGACCAGCUGCAUAUCUGUUUCUACAGGUUUAGCAAUGGGAACCGCUGGGCUUGUGGCGCGGCCUAUGGCUAGCAUUCUUGAAGCCACAGGCAGAACUGCCCAGAGCAUAAGAAACAGAAGCAACCCUCAUGAAUCCAACCGCUUGCGUGUUCGUUUCCCCAGGCCUGUUGCCAGAGAUCGUCCUUUGUUUCCGUACUCCUGGGAAGAAGCCAUCGGCAUAUCAUUGCUUGCCCGAGCUGAUGGUGGUAGACUAAAGGAGGAGACAUUUGUCAUGUGCAAAACACUCAAGGAGCCUGGGAAGUUCCUCGUGCUGACCGAGAAGCUUCUUCUGCUAGUCUCAAGCCCAUAUUUGGUGGAUCUAGGGUCACCUCAGUUUGUGGGUGUUCCUCCUGACCCUCAGUGGUCAAUUGACACGGAGAUGCACCUCAAGAGCGUUGUUCAUCUGGACAGGUCUCUGGAGGUUGUGAAUAUUGUUGGGAGCAAUGGAGAGACUUCGCCGAGGGACAAAAGAGGCGGCGCGAGAAACAGGGUCAUGAACUCGGCCUUUGUCCCCCUGUUUCACCUCAGCAUCGAGGUGCCAAACGUUGAGGAUGCAGAAGGCACACUGCAGGUGCUAGAGGCACUCAUCGACAAGGGGAGGGCACGGAGGUGGGAUAAGAACAUCCUACACCGAAGCAACAUCAGUUGAGGUCUUUAUGCGCACGCGACUUGUACAGUUUAUGCCAGAUGACAUCAUACAUGGGGGAGCUAGUGUGAUUUUGUAAGUAACCCAGUGUUUCAUAGGUGAUCCACCGUGGCGCAGCUGGACGCGCUUCGGUUUUUUGCAGACUAGUGUACACAUGUAGGUAUAGGAAAUUUUGUCGAAACACAUUUGUAAAUAUUUUGCGCGUGCAAAUGUCAACAGGCUUUUCUCUGGUCUCCUCUCUUUCGGUAUGUGUUUGCAUAUGCAUAUAGUUUUCGCACGCAGAAGGCACUGCUGGUUCCCAGACGAUCAAGGGCAACACAGCAAUAAACAAGUCGACUGUCGGGUAAAUUGAUGUACAGAGAAACCUAGGGAAACACAGCAAUUCCAGACGAUCUGAACGAACAGACGAAUUAAAUGUUCAAAUUGACGGUCAAUACAAACAAAGAUCAAACUGGAACAUAUAGUGAAGUAAACAGAAUAAGAACAGAGAUACACUGAAACAUAUAGUGAAGUAAACAGAAUAAGAACAAAGAUAAACUGAAACAUAUAGUGAAGUAAUCAGAAUAAGAAGCGGCAAGCCGAUCCAAACACAGCCAAUCAUCACAAGAUCAGAGGCAUCAGAACAAGAUCAGCAAGAAAUAAUAGACAUCCAAGAGCCUUUUAAGUUUGGAUCUCACUUUAGUUAACCAUAGACAUAUUUUAGUUAAUGGUCGUGUAGCUGAUAUACCAAGUUUUCGUUGCAAACCCUGAGAUAUUAUUACCACGAAGGAUAACCAACGAUCAAAACGUCUGGUUCGAAUUCUAUUGCUUCGUCCGAUCCGGGCAAAUUGCCAAAGCAUUUGAUCGGUUGACACAUUGCAAUAUAAAGGACUAGUAAAAAAAAUUCUAGAUAGGAAGUGGGUCGGUCUCAAAGCAAAUGAGUUGUUAGUUGUAGAAUAUUACUCUCGCCAAACUUGAACUUACCGAAAAAAAAGGAAAGGUUCAUAGAUUUUUUUUCCUUUUCUAGGAUCCUUUCCUUUUUUGUUAUUUCCUCGAUUUUCCAUACCUUUUGUUAUUUCCUCGAUUUUCCAUACCACAGUAAUUUGCUAUAAAGAAUUUCUAUUAAAUAAAGAUAUUAUUGCUGGAAUAAAUUGUUAUUUAAUUUGAUACAUUGGCAUCAUUGUGACUACACGUUGCGUCAAUACUGCGGUCGGUAACAAUUUGCACCUACGACUGCAGAAGAUCAUGCCCACACUACAGCCCUGAUGCUCCACUGCAAACGUAAAAUGAGCUUCGCGAUUCUUCAUCCCGGACACCAAAACAUACAUAAAUCCGCAAAGAACCAACGAUCGAAUUCUAUGUUCACAUACGAAAACGUCAGACUGAAACAAAGGUAAACGAAUGAGAAGCGCCAAGUCAACGCAAACAUAUCCAACCAUCACAAGGUAGCCAAGGUAUAGAACCAGAUUAGUAAAGAAAAAACCUGAGUUCCACCGCCAAGCCAAUCCAAACAUAUCCAACCACAUCUCAAAAAGAUUGGGCCUUUUAAGCUUGAACAAGAACAUAGAAACAAGUUUCACUCUAAUAAGAUGGUUUGCGGUUCAUCACAUAGCCAUAGCACCACAUCUCAAAAACUUCAAAACUUGAGUACUUGUAACGAAAGCCUAGAGACAUAACAUAAGAUAGUCUUGGACACCAUAAGUGAAUUUGCUAAUGGCUGGGCCUUGGGCUACUUAGUCGAACAGGCUGAAGCCCAUGUCAUCAUCAGACUCCUCCUUGGCCUCUUCCUUCUUCUCCUCAGCAGCCGGGGCAGCAGCAGCUGCAGCACCACCAGCAGGGGCAGCGGCAGCAACUGGAGCAGCACCACCACCUAGAAACAAAGUUCAACACACCAGUAAGUAUACAAUCUAUGUGAACUAGAGAAAAGAGUUGAAGAAAUUUCAUAAUUUGCUACCAGUUUACUAAAUAUACAUAGGAACUUAGAGCCAAAGAAGUAAUUGUCACAUGUAUCAAGUUUAACAACAAACAUAGGUAUUAACCACAGAAUGAUAAUAUAAAAUAAAUGAAAUUGAUAUAUUUACCGGCCCAAAUUGAAACUUACUCGCAUCCAGAAACAGAUAGAAUCAAACAAGGAGAGAACUACAGUUACUACGUGAUCGUUAAUCCAUGAUCCAUAUAUGAAUCGCUCAGUUACAUUAAAAAGGUAGUGAUAAUGUUAAUCAGCUGAGUACUAUGUUAACCUACCAGUGCAACGUAAUGAAACUAUUAAGAAUGUUACCACUAUUGCUCAAUUGAAAGGCAAAGAUUCAUAGAUACAGCAGGUAUCAUCAAAAAGAUCAAACAAUCUACAAGACCAUACAAGGUAUCCCUACAGCAAUUGCUAUCAACCAACACAUACAUCAGACAUCCACUUAGGAGCAUGAGAGCGAGGUAGGGGUUAUACCAGAUCCAACGGAGAGGAUGAGGUCCUCAACGCUGCGCUUCUCCAGGAGCUUGGCGAAGAGCGCGGGCCAGUAAGACUCAACCUUGAUGUUGGCGGCCUUCACGAUGGUCGCGAUCUUCUCAGCCUGGCAAAUCCAAACACCCAAGAAUCAUUCGACCGCCCAAUAGACGAAGAGGGAGAUUCAAUCAACCAACAAAGAGAGCAGAGAAAGAACGCACAGUGAUGGGGAUGCCAUCGUCGCUGAGGAUGAGGGCGGCGUAGGUGCAGGCGAUCUCACUGGACGACAUGGCGGCGGGCGGAUUCCUCUCACCGGAUGGAUCUGCGGUCACUGCGAAGAGAAACAAGAUGACGACGUCAGUACACGAUGCGCCGGCGCGGCGGCGCGAGAGCAAGGUCGCGAACCGGAGGAGUUGGCGGCGGCGCGUACCAGAGGGAAAGAGGCGGCGAGGAGGGUGGAGGCGCAGGAGGCAGGGGGCUUCUAGGGUUUGGGAGGAUGCGGCGUGGAUGGAAAUAUAUAGGGGGGUGGAGUAGCUAGGGUUUCGCUGGCGCGAGGAGUUUGGGCCAGCUGGGCCGUGUCGUGGGCUCUCGUUCCCUGCGUUUUGGUUGGUUUACUGGCCAUUCCAAUUUUCUGAAGUUUCAUCUAAAAGUUCCGAAAUAUUAUAUCGUACUCCAAACUCCAAUUAAAAAAAUUGAAAAAUAUAUGUAUCGUACUUCAAAGAGACUUUUGGCAGGGCUUUUGAACCAGUACAAUCUGUUACAAAAAAAACAGAAGAGAUGCAACUGAAGCCGAGAACUCCAAUUGGAAUACUACACCAAGGAUUUAUGUUAGAAUUAUGAUUGAUUAUUCUAACUGUAUACUCCUAUCCGACAAUCUAGGUCGUCUAUAAGUCAUCCUCAAUCUGAACUCUUCAUCACAGGAUUCAGACUGCGCUUACAUAUGAAAAAGAACCUGAUUUGCCAGUGGUUUUGUAUUGUAAUAUUUUGAGCUUCGCAUAGUGUUCUGCAAGCUAAUACUAUCUCACAAACAAAAUGAAUGUCGAGCUCUUUUCUAGAACAUGCCAAUUCACGUACUUCUUUGCAAAAGAGCUAGAAAGGUUUAAAUAAGUCGAGGAAGGACACAUCUCAGGAAAAUGCGACUCUGUACACCGUACACCAUGAGGCAACUAAUGAUCAUUAGGAAAUGGUAAGACUGCACAGAAACGUAUUGGCGACUAUGCGAGAAAAAUGUGAUGACCGCCAUUCACUAUGCGCGACUAUUGAGAACAACCAUCAAGAAGAAUGGAAGUUCAAAAAAAAAACAAAAUCUUAUAGACGAACAGCAAGAUCGAAAUGUAGAAUUCUUGUAAAAUUAGCUAUUCUGAAGGCAAUAAAAGUUGUCGGAACAAAUCCAAGGAUCAUAUCGCACUGGUAGUAAAAAAAACACUUUUUUCGGCAUUGCCCUGGCUUUUUUUUUUAAAAAAAAUAGAUCAACAUAGAAGGAGCUAGGUGAUUUUUUAUUAAGAAGAAGAAAAAAUAGGCAUCCAAAUUCGAGUUAGAGGGCACGAUCACACCUCCCACCCUAACCAGUUGAGUUUGUGGCUUUUCAAAGGUAUUUCACUACUUUUUAGGACAUUCUAGUGAUCGCAAAAUAUUAGCAUAUUAGCAUCAUAUAAUACCAUCAAAAUCUCAUCAAAAUGUGUAAUUAUUCUUGCAAGCCUUCUAGAUUUCCAUCAACCGAGAUCCAGGAAGGUUGCAACUGAACGAGGUCAUGUGGAGCUUGGUUAGCACUUAGUAGUUUCGAACGGUAGGAUCUGCUCCCCGGGAUUCGAGUCCUCAACUCGACACUGUUACUCGUAUUUUUCUAGAUUAUUUUAGGAUUUAACCAGCACUAUUCUUUUAGUGGUAGGCAACGUGCCCGUCAAUAGUGAGGCACUAGUGGUGACUUUGCCAAUUUCGAGGAUCUGCUGACUCAGUUUCUCGAAAGUGCUGAUAAGGGUAGGAUUGUGUACAGUAUUCAUAGCGCUGAGUGUGCAUGUAUUUAUUUGAGGGUUCGAAAAAAAAAGUACCAGGCUUGCAACAAUGUUGGGAGGAAGGCAGGUAAAGAUGAAGCAUGGUGUCAACACACCUAGCAGUACGGUGGGAGAGCCAACCGAGAUGGAGGCGGUGGCGUUAAAAUAUGGAGAUGGUGGCUUGCUCUUUCUCUUUGCAUGGCAAAGUUCUUGGUUGUUUUUUUUAAUAAUUAUAAUAAAGAGAAUUGCCCAAGAACUACUAGCCCAAACCCAACAAAGAAGGAUGGGCCCAGCCUACUAGUCUGUCGGGUCACGGCCCAAGAAAACCGGACUACAACUCGUACGGAAACACGCAUAGCCAUGUACGGCCCAAGGAUCGGGACCCCGGACUGUCUGGCGCACGCACACCUGACUACAACUCGUACGGAAACACGUCUACUUCGUCUACUACGUCCGUCCGUGUACGUGCAGAGCUAUCGCGUCAGCAGCGCGCAAGCUCGGCGGCUGCAACGAUGGCGGUGAGCAGCAGCAUCGCCGACUUACCCGUCUCCCUGCAGCCGCUCAGCAGGCACCCCAUGGUCGGCGCCGCCGGCCUCCGGGACGACGGCCGCGUCAUGUUGCGUAAGUGGCUCGACUUCUGGCCCAACUCCGGCGACCUCGUCCCGGCGGAGGAGUUCAGGGACGGCUUCGUCCUGAAGGUGGUGUUCUCGGCGAGCCCCGAGCAGGAGCGCUACUUCGCCGUGGUGAUCGGCGGCUUCCACAAGUACGCCAUGUACGCCAGGGCCGGCGCCGCCGCGUGGGAGACGCUGCGCGACGCGCGCGGGAACCCGGUGUACCUCGAGCACGACGCCGUGCACGUCGAGGCCUCGAGGGGGGCCGGUUCCUGGCCGUGACGCGGGUCCACGGCAAGGUCCUCGAGUUCGACCUCGCCGGCUGCGACAACGACGGCGACGACCACGGCGGUGGUGACGACGAGGAGGAGGACCGUGGGCACUCUCCUAGGGUGAGCUUCUUCGCGGAGCCGUUGGCUCUGACCGAGUCGUUCGCCUACUCCGCCCGAGACGGCUCGGGGAUGCAGUUGGAAAACCACCUCGUCCUCAUCGACGGCGAGGUUUACCAGAUAUGGGCGGCGCUGGUGGUCGUGCCACCGGAUGAGGAGGAUGAAGAAGAAGACUCCGGCGAGGCAAUGACGCACCGCCAUCACAUCGAGGAGGCCGGCGUCGUGAGGUUCGACCCGGAGAAAAGCACGUGCUGGACGGAGGUGGCGGAUCUCCGCGACUGGGCCGUGCUCGUCGGGAGGAACGAGACGGUGGCCGUGCGCGCCGGCGACGUGCCCGGGGUGCGCGGCAGCUGCGUCUACUUCAUCGACAGCAAGCUGGACGGGGUGGUCUGCGCGUUCGACUUGAGGAGCGGGCAGGCGGAGGUUUUGGGUGGUGACGUGCUACGAGAAGCGUGCUCGUCGGCGAUGGCGCCGCCCGGGUCCAGCUCGCACCCGCCGGUUUGGUUCCUGCCGUCGUUGAAGUAGGCCGCGCAGCUGCAGGUUACUUGCAUUGUAUCUCUCUGGUACACGGAGUAGUCAAUUUCAGCGGAUGAUCAGCUGUGUUGCAACAUGGGAUUUUCUUUUAGUUAGUGAAAACAAGAAGGGAGAUGCAUUCUUAUGUUGUCUGAAAAUUAAACAAUUUAUAGUCCAUGCAUUUUGGCCCUCAUACCAUAUAGGAGAAUCUAAUGGAGUGCCUUGUUCAACAUUUUGGGACAAAUGGGUGUGCUCCAGAAUUCGCUGCACACUUUUAUAUGAAAACUGACUGAUUGUUUGAAAAGAUCAAGAUGUUUGUUUGAAGUCUUGAAGAGGAGUAGUAAAUCACCAAAUCAGCUUAACUAUAAACAUGGCAUUUUUGCAACUCGGUAAUUACAUCAUGAUCUCCGGAGUACUAAAUGACAUUUUUGCCUGGUGAGCGCGGCGGCAGGGAAGGCGAGUGACGGCGUCCCAUGGGCCAUGGACCGAGAUACUGGGCUGGGCCUGUUGCUGUGUGUUUCCGGGGGCCAGUUUGUAGGCCAGUUUGAGCCCAGCAGAUCACAAUACCUUUUCAGUUACCCAUCAGUUUUGAAGAAGAGAAUCAAAGCAGAGUUUGUUGCAGUUCCGAUCCAGUAGCCAAGCAAAACCAAUGCAACCAUGCAAGGUAGCACUACACUACACUGUGCCCGGUGUCCGCGGAUGCACUCGCCCUCUCGGGACAUGUGGAUUGGUCCAAGCUCCCAUCGCAUCCAGGAUAUGUGGAUUGGACAAGAAAAUCUUUGCACCCGUGCACAACACAUUUAGCCAAGCUGACCCAUCGGAAUCGAUCGGAAGUGAAGUGCAGCACACCCUCCGCUGCGCCCUGUCGCCGAAAGCGGGGCGCAUCGCUUAUCCCCUCCAGCUUUCUGCUCCCUCUGGCCACCGGGCUCUGCUGCCUCUCACGCCGCCGGUCACGAAUAUUCCACAUCAGGAUUCGUUUGCAAGAUAAUGUACCGCACGACUCCAAAUUCGAAACCCAGCUUUUGAAUCAACAUGCAAAUUCGGAAACCCGUUGCGCGGCAAAGCCGGCAGGUCUCUAGAAUGGCCAGGAGACGAGUUAUCCCACGAACGAGUUGUCCCACGUGUCCCCGCCACGUGUAGGGCAGCAUGGCGCGGCGAGCGCGCCGCGUUCCGGGUCUACCUGCGCCGGAGAAGACGACGCGGGCCGCCGCGUGCAGGCAUGUCGCUCUCGGCCGCGGUCCAUGCAGAGCCGGGUCUAGGCGUGCCCGCGCUUGGUCCUGAUGCCUUUGCCGCCGCCUCUGCUCUUGCCUUCGUGGCUUCGUGGCUCCGUCUGGGCUUUGGGCCGCCGGACGAACCAACUGUUGCUGUGCCAGUUGAAAAGGAGGAGCUCUCGCCUCUCGUCAGGUCAGAGCACGGAAUAAACGCAACAACUUUCCUCGUCAUCUUCUGCUUCGCGUAGAGCCCCUCGCAGUGUCUUCUUUUCGCAUCGGUGCCCCUGCUUUGAUUCAGGACCACCUUCUUGUUUUUUUUUGAGGUAAGUCAGGACCUUCUUCCCAAAGGUAGGAUGCCUAAGGUUUUGUAUCAAGACACACCGAAACCCAACUUAAUGAGCUGUGACACUGAUAACCUGAAUGAAAUUCGUGCGGGCUCAAACAUUUAACAUGAAUUAUAGCAUUCCAAGUACCUACAGAAGCCGUGAUAAGAAAUGACUGCCAUCACUACCUGCGUGUAUGCAGCAAAACACGCCAUGUUUUUACUGUAAAAGUUCGUUGUAAUCAUGACAAGAAACGACUACCACCACGUAUGCAGCAAAACACGCCAUAUUUUUACUGCAAAAGUUCGUUGUAACCAUGACAAGAAACGUUAACUGCUCCCAUUUAUUCGUUCAACAAAAAUUGGCACGUUUGACCGGGUGACUGUGCCCUUUUGUCCGUGCAGCAAAACAAGCCGUGUUUCACUGGAAAUGGUCGUUGUAACCAUGACAUUAAGAAGUAACCGUCCCACCUUUUAUCCAUGUAGUGAAACUUGCCACAUGUUGGCUAAAUACGAUCGUUGUAAUCACGACAUGAAGCAUUAACCGUCCGCGCCUUUUAUCUGUAGCGGAACAUGCCACGUGUUCAUAAAAAUGAUUGUUUUAACCAUGAAACGAGGCGAUAAUACCUUGACUUUAGCCCGUGCAUUGAAACACGCCAUCUCUCGGCUUCUUUUCUGCAGCCCUACGUGGGACUUGAAUGCCACAUUCACGCUGUCUCAUGUAAUCCAAACUCCCACUUCGAACAUCCAUAACAUGAGGGGGAGAAAAAUGAGGCACGCGCGAAGCUUCAGUGUAAGAUCUUAUUUUUAUGCUCUGAUAUACAAGUCCAUCAUGACUCGCCGUAUUAUAAGAGAAAAUUAUUAAUAUUCCGUUCCAACGAAAAAAAUACCCUCAUCCAAAAUAAGUGGCAGUCCAAUUAAUUCUUGGCUUCGUCAUGUCCUUUUGUUCAUGCAGCAAAACACACUACUUCACCGGAAAACGGUCAUGGUAACCAUGACAUGAAGCAGGAAUUGUCCCACCUUUUUCUAUUCGUGUAGCAAAACGCGCAUGUUCAGUAAAAAUAGUCAUUCUAAUAACCAUGAAAUGAAACAAUAAUCCCUUGACUUCAGCCUAUACAUUGAAACACGCCAUCUCUCAGCCUCCUUUUAUGCAGCCCUGUGGGAUUUUAAUGUAUGUUCACGUUUGUCUUUUGCGAUCCAUUAAGAAAGGUUAUCCCAUAGAUGGCAUGUUAUCCAAACUCCCAUUUCGAACAUCCAUAACACGAGAGGGGAGGGGGAUAAGGCACGUCCAAGCUUUGGCGUAUAAAGAAGUUCAGAAUGUGUUUAACCCUCCAUCAUAACUCAUUAUAUUACAAGAGAAAAUAUACCACUCCAGCGAAAAGACACCCUCAUCCAAGAAAAGUGGCAGUCCGGUUAACUCCUGUCUUCAUCGUGCCAUCUAUGGCAACACUAUGUGCAAUGUCGUGCCACUUCAGUGCAACGCACCGGGCAAUAUAGCAAUUAGUUAGUUGCAGCCAUUAGUGAAGUUGCAAAUAAGCCCUCGCCGUUGGGAGGUGAAUCGGGGAGCCCCCGAGGGGUUUCCCGCGAAAUAGCAGGCCGGCGGGCAAUGGGAGGCGAGGACCGAGAAGGGAACAGGCGCACGAGAGGGGGAGGGAGGAGAGGGAAGGAGGCAGGCGACACCGCCGUACCGGAGGCCAGAGCGCCCAAAAAAGGCAAAGCGGAAAAGCAUUGGGAAAUCACCCUCCCCCCUUCUUCUCCUCUCUCUCUCUCUUCCCCCCGCGACCCACCCGAGCUGCAGAGAGAGAGAGAGAGAGAGAGAGGGGCUGGCACAGGGUCAGGCGCAGGCGCAUCUCCCCUUGCCGCCGUCCUUGCUCUGCUCCUCCGCCUGCGCCGGUCGGCUCUCUGCUCUGCCGGCGCGCGCAACAACCCACCCCGCCGAUCGAUCGGCCAUGCGGGCGUAGCCACCACCCACCCACCCNNNNNNNNNNNNNNNNNNNNNNNNNNNNNNNNNNNNNNNNNNNNNNNNNNNNNNNNNNNNNNNNNNNNNNNNNNNNNNNNNNNNNNNNNNNNNNNNNNNNNNNNNNNNNNNNNNNNNNNNNNNNNNNNNNNNNNNNNNNNNNNNNNNNNNNNNNNNNNNNNNNNNNNNNNNNNNNNNNNNNNNNNNNNNNNNNNNNNNNNNNNNNNNNNNNNNNNNNNNNNNNNNNNNNNNNNNNNNNNNNNNNNNNNNNNNNNNNNNNNNNNNNNNNNNNNNNNNNNNNNNNNNNNNNNNNNNNNNNNNNNNNNNNNNNNNNNNNNNNNNNNNNNNNNNNNNNNNNNNNNNNNNNNNNNNNNNNNNNNNNNNNNNNNNNNNNNNNNNNNNNNNNNNNNNNNNNNNNNNNNNNNNNNNNNNNNNNNNNNNNNNNNNNNNNNNNNNNNNNNNNNNNNNNNNNNNNNNNNNNNNNNNNNNNNNNNNNNNNNNNNNNNNNNNNNNNNNNNNNNNNNNNNNNNNNNNNNNNNNNNNNNNNNNNNNNNNNNNNNNNNNNNNNNNNNNNNNNNNNNNNNNNNNNNNNNNNNNNNNNNNNNNNNNNNNNNNNNNNNNNNNNNNNNNNNNNNNNNNNNNNNNNNNNNNNNNNNNNNNNNNNNNNNNNNNNNNNNNNNNNNNNNNNNNNNNNNNNNNNNNNNNNNNNNNNNNNNNNNNNNNNNNNNNNNNNNNNNNNNNNNNNNNNNNNNNNNNNNNNNNNNNNNNNNNNNNNNNNNNNNNNNNNNNNNNNNNNNNNNNNNNNNNNNNNNNNNNNNNNNNNNNNNNNNNNNNNNNNNNNNNNNNNNNNNNNNNNNNNNNNNNNNNNNNNNNNNNNNNNNNNNNNNNNNNNNNNNNNNNNNNNNNNNNNNNNNNNNNNNNNNNNNNNNNNNNNNNNNNNNNNNNNNNNNNNNNNNNNNNNNNNNNNNNNNNNNNNNNNNNNNNNNNNNNNNNNNNNNNNNNNNNNNNNNNNNNNNNNNNNNNNNNNNNNNNNNGUCAACGUCUCGUGAUGAACUGAUGAUGAUGAUGAUCCGGUUUGGUCUUCCAUUCCAUGGCUCGCCCGGCCGCUGCAGAGAAGGGGGGAGCAGCAGGAGGGUUCGGCGGCCCACGGCCACCCCGGCAGGCGCCGGACCAACAGCCGCACCAGCAUGGCGCAGCGGGACGAGGUCAUCCGCCGCACCGUCUACGUCUCCGAUAUCGAUCACCAGGUCGGUCAGUCGCACGGAUCCGCACCCUCCCCGAUCCAUUUCGCUUGGUUCCGGCGUUUAAUCGCAUCAAUUUGAAUUUUUUUUUUCUCUUCCGCUUCGAGUCUACCUACUACCUAUUGAUCGAUCGAUCUCUGAUGCCAAUUAGCUUUUUUUUGGUGCACUUGUCGUGGUGAUUAUACUCCCGUUAGAUUUGGGUUCGGUCACUUCUGUUCAUGCGUGCUCCUGACCAGGAGGAUGAGAUCACGAGAUCAGAUGAUGCUGUGGGAUGGCCCGAUGGGGCGGGGGGAUGGGUAGGAGCAGAGGUUGGGAUGUAGCGCACGCCACCACGUACACGUAGGUGCUGCUGCUGCUACGAGUAUGAGCCAUCCUUUUCUGUUGCUUUGGUAGAUUUGGAUGCCACUUUCUGCUAGUAUGUUUUGCCGCUGCUGGGCUAUUUGUUCCGUGCGGAAUCCGGAAAGUUGUAUGCCCUGUUUUGCCUUUUAUGUGCUUGGCUGUGCGGCAGGGAGCCUUUAGAAUAGUUCCUUCUCUGAUGAAUGUGCUUCAUUUUUUCUUGGUUUCCCUGGUCACGUGCUUCUGUCUGCAGCAUGCAUGGCGUUUGUGUCAUGGCAUUUCCUGUUUAUCAUGUUACUGGUUCUAAUAUGGACGGUCUGAUCACCUAUAUGGUAGGAGGCGUUUCUUUACUAGGCAGUGGAACCUUCAAGAGCCCUGCUUUGAUGUUCCUUUUAUGGAGUGACACCAGGAAAGGACGAUAAGUAACCAGACCAUGCCCUGUUGUAGAGGCUGCUAGAAAUGCUAGGUUCCCCUGCUCUUUGACUUCCUUCAGUUAUUCCAAAAUUCCAAAUAUCAUUGAGUGUAAUUCAGAAGUUCUCCUAUUUGGUGGAGUAGCUAUAGGCCAUGUUUCACUGAUUCCUGUCAAUGUGUGUGCUCCAUUGUCUCCGUUGCUUUUCAUGUAUGCCGUGGAAGAUCUUGACUUUAAAAGCAUGCAAGUCAUAUUGAUGUCCCUGCUUGUUGUACAGCUGGUAUCUGUUUGACUAUUUGUAAUAAUCGAUAUCAAUGUACAUUCAUAGAUUGGAGUCAUACCUCUCAUAUUUCCAUAUUAGAAAGGAAUGACCAGGCGUCUAGGCCUAUAUAAUUAAUUGUGCUUGAGUUGCUAUUGCAAGGUUUAUGACUGCAUUAUGGUCUGCAGUGCAUGGCUCUCUGUAUUCCGUUACAUGUAUUUGUCCUUGUAGGAUUUACUAGUUAGAACAAUAAAGAUGCUAUCUUUGCAAAACACAACCUGCCAUGUGACAUGGUCGCUUUUUGUAGGAAGAAAUACUCUUGCUCAUUACAUAGAGCAAGUUGGUAUAAGUGGAUAUCUUCUUCUGCGUCGUUGCUAGGUGUUGUUUUCUUGUGAUUUUACUGGAGAGAGAGUUUUUGGUACUAUGCAUGCGGAAUGCCCCAUAUUUCACCAGCCUUUGUUGGCUCGCAUUGUACGGAAACAAUACUAUCUUCUUUUCUACAACUGUUAAUAGGUUUGCUUGAGUUUUAGCAUUUAGCUGGUGCAAAAUCUGGUUCUCUAAUAUUAUUUAAAGUCAUCGUUGAGGCCUAAUAAUAUUGAUUUCUUGUUGUCGGUGGGUCCAUGGGGUCGCCUAGAUGAUCAAGAUCACAUCUUGUCUUUAGUAGUCUCCCACCUUCGCUAUUGCUCCUGGUAUAAAGCUUUAAUGGGCAAUACCCUGUUCUUUCUUAUUAUGGAAAAGGAAGGCCCAAUGGGACCAAAAAAAAAAAUCUUUUGCAAAAAUCUUGCAUGUAGAACACAGAAACCUUUUGCAGUGUACAUAUUUUAGUCGUACAUAUUUCAGUCUGGCCCACUGGUAUGACGAGUGAGUUUAUUGUUUGCUGAUGUAGUUAAUGAGCUAUUUUAUGUAACACUCGAGUAAUUGUGAAUCAGUCAACGUUUCUCAAUACUAGUACAGAGUGUUGCGGUUGAAGUUUUGUAUGUCUGUGUGCUUUUUUUCUCAUACCGAUAGUAUACCUUUUUGCCAAUUGAAGUUGAAAAGGUUAGGUAAUGUAUUAGGGUAAUCUUUGCCAAGAUGUUGGAGCAUAUUCUAUAUGUUAGCUUCUGCUUUUCUUUGUUUAAUUGACUGUUGCAGUGGCAAUUAUAUUUAGUUUAGUUUCUAAUUUCUCCUUUUUUUUGUUUAUUAGGUCACUGAAGAAAACCUGGCAGCGCUAUUUAUAAACUGUGGACAGGUACACUCUAUGGGACAAUUUCAAACCCCCUUACAUAUAUUGGCGCUCGCUAUUUGUUUUUUAAUGCAACCGUGCAUAAUCUUGGAUAUUCCUUCUGAAGGUUGUGGACUGUCGCAUGUGUGGGGACCCAAAUUCAGUACUUCGUUUUGCUUUCAUAGAGUUCACUGAUGAGGGUAAUAAUCCAGCCAUAAUUGAAGUUUCUUAGUUUGGUGUAAUUAGUCAACUGUUCACUGGUUAAUGAACAUCCCUGUUGCAGAGGGUGCCAGGACUGCUCUUAAUCUGUCAGGAACUGUGCUUGGAUAUUAUCCUGUGAGGGUUCUGCCAUCAAAGACUGCCAUUGCGCCAGUAAACCCAACAUUUCUGCCCAGGGUAAGCAAACCUUUCACAAACGAACAUAUUUGUCAUAGGCUCAUGGUUCAAGGUUCAUACUGUGGUCUGCUGUGAUCUUAUCUCUAAAAAGUUUACCUCUUUGAUGUGAUAUGCAGUCUGAUGAUGAACGUGAAAUGUGUGCAAGGACUAUUUACUGCACAAACAUUGACAAGAAGGUUUGCUACCAUAUAAUUAUGAUAUCCUUAGGUAUUUCUUUCUGUUAUGUUUCUAUUUUGAUAUAUCCACUUACUGCAGGUCACUCAGGCAGAUCUGAAAUUGUUCUUUGAGUCUAUAUGUGGAGAGGUUGGUCAUUCUUUACUUCAAACUUCUUUUCCUUUGUUUACAGUAUGUAUUGCUAAAUGCCAUGUAGAAAAGACAAAUCAAGUAGCAUGGUGUUCAUUGGCUCAUGGCAAGUCCUGUUACAGGUCUUUCGUCUGAGGUUGCUUGGUGAUUACCAUCAUUCUACUCGCAUCGCCUUUGUGGAGUUUGUGAUGGUUAGCUAGCAUACCUUUGUCUUUUUCAUAUUUUUGCAAAAGUUGCAUAUAGUAUGCAUUUUUAAUGUAUAUUUUUUUAGCAUUACUGGUGGCUGAGAACUUCCAAGUACUAAAAUGCUAAAGAUAUGUUCCUUGGGUAGCAUGCCAUAACUUCCAAAUACUAAAAUUUGUGUUGAAACUUAAAGUGGUCCUAGUAAGACUGUUGAUACUUGUGCCUUGUCAUCAUGUUUAGCGCACUAGCUUGGUCUUACUGAGCAUUGUCAUCAGUUUUGGAUGUUUUCUCACUACCAUCUGCUAUAUAACUGAACCUGUUCCGUUGCACUGUCUUAACUGUACUGAACCUUCUGAUGCUGGUAUUUUGUGAAUCCAAAGUUCAUUGAUUCAAUAUGUUUGUAAAAUCUAGGUCCUUUCUAAUGGUGGUGCUUCUUGUAAUAUAUAAUUGGUGUUUCCCCUAAUUUUCAAGACUUAAACCCCAUCUUACGAUCCAUUUGUUUCCUACUGUUCAGGCUGAAAGUGCUACCGCUGCUCUCAACUGCAGUGGUGUGAUUCUGGGUGCCUUGCCAAUAAGGUAAUAAAUCUCUGAUCUUUCAAGACACUUUGCAAGGGUAUAGAGCUCAACAUGGAUUAACAGAGUAGGGUAUUGUGGUAUUUCAGGGUGAGCCCAUCGAAGACCCCUGUGCGUCCCCGCGCGCCUCGCCAGCUGAUGCACUAGUGUUGUAGGUACAGGAGGUGCUGAUGGCACUGCUUAUAUAUAAUAGAGAUAGACAUAUAUGAAAGGGGGGAAAUCGCAAUAUGUGUCAUUUUCUUUUUAAGUUAUGGGCUCGGCCUUUUUUUUUCUUCACUGUACCACCGUGAGUGAGUAAAGUAUCUACGCUCGGAGCCGGAGAGGGCAAAUUCCGGGUUGAGGUUGGGUCCUUUUACCAUGCACAUAGCGGAGAGCUUCUUAGAAGGAAGCAGGGUUGAUCUGCUCUUGUCCUUGAUGCAACAAGGCGAAACUCCUGGACUUUUACCUGUGUUCAGUUGUUUGCUGUGUCUUGGUUGCUACUCAAAAAAACUUGGGGAUUACUUGGAGAUUAUGAACGCUUACCGUUGUGCCCUACCUUAUGCUUCCAUGUCAGUAUGUGUGUUUGUUGUUGUUCUGGUGCGUGCUGCUCUGUUCCGAUUUCUGUGUGUGACGGCUUGGAUGUUGUUAGCUUUACCAAUGGGUAUUUUUAUCAUGCAUUUGUAGUUGUUUGAGACCUGAUCAUGUGCUGUUUGAACUGCAAUUAGUAGAUACUGGGUGGUUACAUUACUUUAGUCUGGGUCUAUGUUAACCUGCCCUUAAUUUCCCCCUGUUCUGCUUGUUAAAAGAGUAGCGAUGAACAUUAGUAGUUGAAGCUUACGGUAUCUCUGUUUGAAAGCAAACCGUGCGUCCAUUUAUCGCCUUGAUGAAUCUGACUGCUGGAUGAUUGGGACCAAAGCUUCACGGCCCUGCCAACAGUAACCAUCCAUCACUUGCAAAACAAAAUCGAUGGCUGUUUUUUCUUUUGGUCCUUAUUCUGACAUAACACUAAAAUUCAGUGCACUAGAUGCUUAAAUUCAGUAUCUCCCUGAUUGCUGUGGCUCCAAGGAAAAAAAACAAUUCAGUUCACGAUCCAUGACCUCUGCAUUCUCUGCACGUCCGUUCAUCCAUCCUCUUCUCCCAUCCCAAAGAAAAGAUCACCUGGAUUUCUUCUCCUUGUUCUCUCCAUCCAUGACCUCUGGCUCAGCCGCUCAGCCCCUCGCCGAUCUAUCCGUUUGCCUCGGAUCUCGGUCAUGUGCUUACCUGCCAGACUGCAUUAGCAACCAGCAAGCUCCGAUUUUUACCCCCUUGCAGAUCAUCAUGUAAUUCAGUUAUUGUCAGUUCAGUUGCAUUGUCACAUUCUUCCUUCUUUAUUCAGUUCAGCUGCCAUGUACAUACUACAGUAGCUAAUUAAGCAGCAGCAGUAUGAAUUAAAAGACGUCCUAUUUUGUAUUGAAGGAGCACUUCUCCAGUUCCUUUCUUAAUCAAAUAUGCUUCUGAACACAGUAUUUGCUAAGUUCUUCAUUGACUGCUAUCGGGCUCAGGGUCCAGUCAUGCAGGUGUGGUCUCACUUUCAGAUGUUUGUGUUGUGCUGUGUGAUCUGUUGGUGCAGGUUUCAGGCGCCUCUGCAAUCAGUUGCAACCAAGAUUUAGAGGCUUCGAUUUUGGAGCAUUUUUUGAGCUUACCCAAUGUUUAGCAGUAGCAGGUAAAGAGAUGUUUUAUGUGCUGUGACAACAUAUCUGCUAGUCUGAAUAAUGCUCCCACGGAUCAGAUCCUCAAGGCUUCGUUUGGCUGCUAGGGGCAGUGCAGCAUUCUGUUUUCGCAAGUGGAGAGAUGGCAAUUAAGUUGGCCAUGGCCAGUGAAAUGUGGGUUUCUUUUUCUAGAUCAUUCAGACCAGUUUGAAAAAGAUCAUUUGGCCCAUCCAUUUAAUUUUUCAAUAAUACCUAGCACGCAUAAAGUCAUAUCAAAUUCUGAAGCAAUGGAAACUAGCAUUACCAGCAGCUUGAGGCUUGCAAAUAGCAUGUGAGAUCGUGGAAAGAAAAUUGUUUGUUAUCAAAUAGCAUGUGAGGCUUGCAAAUAGCAUGUCAGAAGAAAUAAUCAGGAUGUCAAUGCUGAAAGAAAAUAGAGCAAGGAAACAUUUCAACGACGGAUCUUCCUAGUAGGUAGUUACACAGGCUCCGGCCACCGCGUUCUGCCGCUGUCCUGUCCAGGAGGAUAUGGAGUGCACGCCGGCGGCGAGGCUCUCCACAAUCGCCGCGGAUGCUUAUAAAUCGAGCGCCUACCGCCGAAUAAUGGGGCGAAUGUUUGCUUUGGAUGAUCCGCGUCGGAGCUUCACGAUUCAGACCGGUGGCGGCCGCCGGCGGACGGAACAGAGCCGGAAGCGCCGGCCCAGACCAAAGCAGGGGUUGAUAUGAAAAUAUUUGGAUUGCGAUCCAAUAUAGGGGGUUAUCUGUAAAAUUAAGGGGUACAUCCGCAAAUAGUCGGAUCGAGAUUAAUAAUCGCGAUCCAAAUUAGGGGUUAAAUGUAAACCUCAGGGCCAAACUGAAAAUAAUUGGGGGGCGGCGAGCAUGGCAUCCGCCGCUCGCCGGCCACCGCUGACCUUGCCGCCGUGCGUCCCGCGGCCCAGCUUGCUGCCAGCAGGCGGCGAUGAUCAUAGCAUCGGCAUGUCCAGCUUCCAUGUGCGGCGUGCCGGUGGCUCUCGUGUUCUCUGUUGAAUGUGAAUGUAAAAUGAAUAGAGAUUUGGGAACUCUUUAAUGUUUAUUGAUCUCUUUGGAUUAUAUACAAGUGAAGAGUCGCGUUGUAUGGAUGUGACUGUUCGGCAAAAAGUAAUUGUUCAAUGGAACAAUCUACUAACAAAGGGACAUGUCCUUCGUAGUGCUAACUGCUUAUACUAACUAACUGCUAAUCCUCUUUCUCUGUUGAUUGAUGAGAUCACCGAGUAUAGAGAGGUGUCUGUUAGGAACAGACACACCGUUUCGUAACACUCCCCCUUAAUCGAAUCUUCUUUGAGAUCAAUGUAGAUGUAUCUUGGAUUCCACUAGAAAAAUCCCGUGGGAAAAAUAUGAGGAAUAUGUAUGUACAAAUACACUAUAAAACUCCUUUAAACCUUAUAGGAAAAUAAGAAGAAAAUAGCAUAUAUGAGUGUGAUUUAAAUAAAUCACCAUGUCAUUGGUAUCCCAUUAAAAAUCCAGCGGGAAAAAUAUUGGAGAUACGACAUAUAGAUUACCCCCCAAAACAUUUUAGAAAAAAUAUGAGGAGUAAUAUAAAUUGAUAUGUUGCUAAAACUCCUGCAAAAAUCCAGUGGAAAAAUUAGGAGAAAAUAUGAUAAAAUAUUAUUGGUAUUGCCUCUUGAUAACUUACAUGAACCUUUUAAGGGAAAAAUUAUGGAUAAGUUGUGAGAGCAAUUUGUGUCUUUGAUAUUUUCCAAAAAAAAACCCGGUGGGAAAAAUAGGAAAUAUGACACAUGCUUAUGUUAAUAUUACCUCAUUAAAAACUAGAAACCUUGUGAGUAAAACUGGUGAAAGAAAAGAGUUUAAUAUGAUGCUGGUAUAUAGGUUAAUAUUUAGGAGAUAUCUCCCCCUGAUUCUGGCAAAUCUCGAAGUCGUCACAUACCAAUUCCAUGUACCAAUUUUUGAAAUACAGAAGUUGGUGAGGACUUAGUAAAUAGAUUAGCGAGAUUAUCACAUGACUUGAUUUGCAAGAUAUUUAUUUCCCCGCUUUCUUGUAAUUCAUGGGGAUAAAACAGUUUAGGAACAAAAUGCUUAGUGAUAUUGCUCUUUAUGUAACAUGUUUGCAUCUGUGUAACACAAGCGGAAUUAUCUUCAUAGAUAAUUGUAGGUGAUUCAAUUGAACCAAUACCAUAUGACUGUUGUAUGUGGUUAAUCAUUCUGCGAAGCCAUACAUUUUCUCGUGAUGCCUCGUAUAGAGUAAUAAUUUCAAAAUGAUUAGUAGAGGUUGUUGUCAUAGUUUGCUUAGAAGACUUCUAUAAAAUAGCUGUACCUCCAUGUAGGAAUACAAAUUCUGUUUGGGAUUUUCCGUUAUGAGGAUCAGAUAAGUAACCAGUAUUAGUAUAACCAAUCAUACUAGGAUUAUGAUUUUUCUUGAAGAAUAAACCAAGAUCCUUUGUACCAUUAAGUUAUCUAAGGAUACACUUUGCUCCCGUCCAAUGACAGCGAGUUGGGUUUGCACUAUGCCUAGCCAGUAAGUUCAUUGCAAAUGUGAUAUCAGGCCUAGUGCAAUUUGCAAGAUACAUAAGUGCGCCAAUGACACUGAGAUAUGGGAUUUCUGGUCCCAACAUGUUUUCCCCAAUAUCCCGUGGUCUAAAUGGAUAUUUCCCUAUUUCUAAGGAACGAACAACCAUUGGAGUUUUAUUAAGGUAUGAUUUAUCCAUAUUAAAUUUCUCCAAUAUUUUCUGGAUAUAGCUUGAUUGAUGCACUAAAAUUCCUGAAGGAUGGUGCUCAAAUUGUAAGCCUAGGCAAUACUUGGUCUUACCCAAAUCCUUCAUCUCAAAUUCCAUCUUUAGAUGUUUGCGUGCUUCUUCUAUAUCCUUUGGGCUGCCAAUGAUAUUUAAAUCAUUAACAUACACGGAUAUAAUACAAAAUCCCGUUCGAGAUUUCUUAAUGAAAACACAUUGACAAACAUCAUUGUUAGUGUAUCCUUUCUUUAGAAAGAAUUCACUCAGUCGGUUGUACCACAUUCGUCCCGACUGCUUCAAGCCAUAUAAUGACUUUUGUAGUUUUACACAAUACAUGUUGCGAUUUGCGUUUGGAUUCGGAAUUUGGAUUCCAUCGGGAACCUUCAUGUAUAUGUCCGAAUCAAGUGAUCCAUAUAGAUAUGCUGUCACCACAUCCAUUAACUGCAUAGAUAGAUGAUUUUGAACUGCCAAUGAUAUUAAGUAUCGGAGAGUAAUUCCACUCAUUACUGGAGAAUAGGUUUCAUUGUAAUCAAUGCCGAGUCUCCGCGUGAACUCUUGUGCUACUAACCUCGCUUUAUAUCUCACCACCUCAUUGUUCUCAUUCCAUUUUCGGAUGAAAACCCAUUUAAAGCCUACAUGAAAGACUUUGGAAGGUGUAGGUAUUGCAGAUGUGAAUACCCCUCUUCUAGUGAGCGAGGCUAUCUCAGCUUGAAUUGCUUCUUUCCAUUGAAGCCAGUCCGAGCGCUUUUUGCACUCUGCCAUGGUCUUGGGAUUUGGAUCAUUGAGAAAGAUUUCUGCAAUUGCUGCGGAGAAUUAUAUGUCGACAAUAGUAGUCUUACGAUCGUAUGAUUCUCCUGAAUCUAUGUAAUUGAUGGAAAUUUCUUUCACCCCAUUAUUUGACUACAUUUCCCAAAACUAUGGAGUCAGGGUGUUCCGAUAUCCCAGGAUCAUAAUUUGGAUGCACCGUUGAUCUGGGUUGUGGAUUUUGUCCUGAUGUUGGAUUUUUAUCCACUAUUGGUUGUCUACCAACUUUAGGUUCGCUUGGAUUUAUUUAUUUGGAGGACUUAGUCCUCGAUAUCCUCGGAUGCUCACUUGGAGCAUUAUCCUUAGGAGCGGCCGUACUUUUCCCCUUCUUCUUUGGAAGUGGGAGUUGAAUGGUUUUUAUUGGUACCUCCACUCUUUCAUGCGUAUUGCGAGCAGGAUAAGAGGAUUUAGUGACACCCUUAUAAUCAGUAAAUGCUUCUGGCAGGUUAUUUGCAAUAUGUUGCAAGUUUAUGAUUUUCUGAACUUGUUGUUCAGUCUCUAGAGUACGUGGAUUUGAGGGGGAAAUGCCUUGAGCAUUCCAGAUGAUUUCCUAGCAUUCUAUUUGGUACUUGAAGUCUCCCCCUAAUGCCGGGAAAUGGUCCUCAUUAAAUAUGCAGUCGGCGUAUCGGGCUGUGAAUAAGUCCCCUGUAAGAGGCUCGAGGUAUUUGAUAAUUUAUGGAGAUUGAUAUCCCACAUAGACACCAAGUUUCCUAUGUGGGCCCAUAGAGGUACGCUUAGGCAGUGAGAUCAGUACGUAUACAGCGCAACCGAAUUUUCGCAGAUAGGAAAUAUUUGGCAUAUUCCCACGUACUAAUUGCAAUGGGGAGAUUGCGUGAUAUGCAGUUGGUCGCAAUUGUAUUAAGUCAGCAAUGUGUAAGACUGCAUGACCCCAACUUGAGGUUGGUAGGUUGCAAUUUUGUAAUAAUGGUCGUCCAAUGAGUUUAAUUUUUUUAAUAAGAGAUUCUGCUAAACCAUUUUGCGUAUGGACAUAUGGGACAGAGUGCUGAACUUGAAUUCCCAAAGCUAUACAAUAAUCAUUGAAAGCUUUUGAGGAAAAUUCAGCAGCAUUGUCCAUUCGAAUUGAUUGAAUUUGAUGUUCAGGAUUAUGUGCUCUAAGUCUAAUAACUUGAGCAAUAAUUUUUGCAAAUGCAUGGUUACGAGUGGACAAAAGACACACAUGAGACCAUCUAGUAGAUGCAUCUAUUAGAACCAUGAAGUACCUGAACGGUUCAGACAAUGGUUGUAUAGGGCCACAAAUAUCUCCUUGAAUGCGUUCAAGAAAUUUUAGUGGCUCAUUUUGAAUCUUAGCGGGCGAUGGUCGUACGAUCAAUUUUCCUAUAGUGCAUGAAGUGCACAUAAAAUCUGAAGGUUUGAGGAAUUUAGCAGUAUUUAACUCAUGACCAUUAGAAUUGCUGAUAAUUUUUCGCAUCAUCCCUAUACUAGGAUGGCCAAGGCGAUCAUGCCAAGUUUUGAAUGCGUCAAUAUUCUGAAAAAUUACCUAUUACGUAACAUGUGGUACGGAUUUGAUGUAUGUAUAGUACAAUCCAGAUCAAAAAGAGGCAAUUUUUUCAAUAAUUUGUUUGCUAUAUCCGCUAUUUUUAGUAACGAGGAGAAUUUCCUCAUUAUUGUCAUCACAGGUUUCUAUAUGAAAACCAUUUUGACAGAUAUCUCUAUAACUUAACAAGGUACGCUUUGAAUCGGGAUACAAUAAUGCAUCCUCAAUUGUAAUUUGGGUACCCAUGGGGAGUACAAUAGUGGCACUACCAGAGCCAAUUAUUGUAGCAUCGCAUCCUGCGAUUGUCAAAACAUUUCCUUAUCUUUUUGUAAGAGUUUGGAAAUACUUUGUUUCUCUAAGUAUAGAAUUAGUGGUACCACUAUCCACUAGGCAUAAUUCCUCCUCCAUCAGAUUGACCCCCUAGGAACAUGGGUUGUUUAGGAGCAUUCGCAUGUCAGUUGUUCUCUAUUCACGAGCGUGCUGACAACGUGUUGAAUGUGAAUGUAAAAUAAAUAGAGAUUUGGAAACUGUUUAAUGUUUAUUGAUCUCUUUGGAUUAUAUAUAAGUGAAAUGUCGCAUUGUAUGGACGUGACUGUUCGGGAAAAAGUAACUGUUCAAUGGAACAAUCUACUAAGGGAUAUGUCCUCCAUAGUGCUAACUGCUUAUACUAACUAGCUGCUAAUCCUCUUCCUCUGUUGAUGAGAUCACCGAGUACAUAGAGGUGUCCGUCAGACACACCGUUUCGUAACAUUCUCCACGGCGGCGAACGACGCGAAGGGGGCGUGGGGGUGGCGACUGGCCCGUCGUGAGGAUGGCCUGGAGUAACCCGCCGAAGACGACAAUGCAGUUGCUGUGGCCCAUGCUUGUGCUGCGCGCCCCGGGUUGCCUUCCUGCUGAGAAAUUUCAAGAUUGAAAACAUUUUUUCAAAUUCUUGCUGCUACUGCGCUUGGACAGGCAAAAUUGAAAGCAUUUUUCAAAUUGAAAACCAUUCACAAACAAAUUAUCCUCACCCCCAUCAACUUCUUGUCAUGUUAACCAACACAUAUGCCCAGAACUAUAAACCAGGAAAUGCUUUGCAUCUGAGCUACAGAAAGUUCCAGAAAGGAAACACAGAAGGCGAUGGUCGAUCGAUCAGGAUUAAAUUCCUCCAUGGACAUCGCCGGAUCCAAGCGCCCAUGUUCACCUGCUGCAUUGUUCUCGAACCUGCAGCGGCCCAGACAGAAGAGCCAUUGGUAGAGACUAGUAGAGAGUAGAGACGGUGAUGGCAAAUCAGGUUCUUUUAAGUAACUUCAUAUUUUGCCAACCGAAACACAGCCCCGACAGGCAAGCUGAAGCAUUCCAAGACUGCCUACCGCAGCAUGUACACCAUUCGAAAACUCCAGCAAAACUCAUCUGAAUCCAUCCAUAUUCUAUCGGAAUUCGCAAAACAGGCAUGAAUCAAUGCAUUUCCAGAACGGCAUAAGGAGACACAAAAGACACUGAGCUGAGAAGGCCCAACGAAAUUGCUGGACACAACUCUACAAAACAAACGUAAGCAAAACUCAGGAUCCAACUAAAAUAUGCUUCGAAGAAAGCAAGUUAUUCAUGAAAAACACAUAACCAGAGCAAAUCGCUUGCAAUUGAUAAUCAGAAACUGUUUCUGGCAACGCGCGCCACCUCAACCAACGACCAAUUACGCCAUUAUUCUUCCGCAAAAGCAAACAUCUCUUCCCUCCUCUCCCCACUACUCAACCAGGCUCAAGCGAUGACCAUAAUAAUUCCUCCUAAGCAACGGCACAUCAGCGUCUUCGUACGGGCACACCACACAACCGGCUGGCCGAAUGAGCUUCCUGCCAUGCUGGGCAGCCUAGUACCGGUAGUGAGCGGGCUUGUAGGGACCCUCGAUUGGGACGCUGAUGUAGUCAGACUGAGACUUCGAGAGCUUGGUGAGCUUGGCACCAAGCUUGCCCAAAUGGAGAGCGGCAACCUUCUCAUCAAGGUGCUUCGGAAGCACAUACACCUUCUUCUCAUACUUGCCAGAGCUCUUCUCCUUCCACAGUUCAAGCUGAGCAAUGACCUGUAUCAAACACAAGACUUAGUAUGAUGGGUAGGCAAUGACCAGUAUGAUUUCAAGGUAUUUGUUGCCGUAUUUACCUGGUUAGUGAAUGAGCAGGACAUGACAAAGCUGGGGUGGCCAGUAGCGCACCCAAGGUUCAUCAGACGACCCUCAGCGAGGACAAUGAUGCCAGUGUUGGUCUCAGGGAACACCCAGCGGUCUGUCUGGGGCUUGAUGGUGAUGCGCUUGACACCAGGGUAGGUCUCAAGACCGUGCAUGUCGAUCUCAUUGUCAAAGUGACCAAUGUUGCAGACAAUGGCGUUGUUCUUCAUCUUCCUCAUGUGGUCAACCAUGAUGAUGUCCUUGUUGCCGGUGGUGGUCACAAAGAUGUCAGCUUCAGAGACGACAUCCUCCAAGGUAAGGACCUGAAGACCCUCCAUCAAGGCCUGAAGGGCACAGAUGGGGUCGAUCUCAGUCACGAUGACACGGGCACCAGCCUGCUUGAGGGCAGCAGCACAGCCCUUGCCAACAUCACCAUAACCGCAGACCACUGCGACCUUGCCAGCGAUCAUAACAUCGGUGGCCCUCAUCAAACCAUCAGGGAGGGAGUGGCGGCAACCGUAGAGGUUGUCGAACUGUUCAGAGGUAAAAACACAUCAGUAAUGUCAAACUUAACAGUUGCAUUAUGGUACUAGAUAAAUAGUAAUACACCAGACCGUUUAGAAGAAAACAUAUUUUAUCUGCAAAAUUAUUAUAGUUGCUUACAUGCACUAUAUAGCAAGUGACAUUUCAGAAAGAGUACAUUAAAGAAUCCAUGAAAUGCACUGUAUAGGCACUUUUAAGUUAGAUCAGGCACAUGGAACAAUACAUUACACUAAGCAUCAUAUACUCCAUUCUCUUUUGAUCGUACUAUUUCUUGUUGGCACAAUGACCAAGGAAAACAAUCCUAAUUAUCCUACUUAUCAUCCAUUUAAUCAUGCCAUUAACUAGUCCUCGUAAACAAGCGAUUCAUUAAGGCCUAGACUUCUUGAUGCCCAUGUAGCCCAUCUCAGGUGGAAGAAUGAAGAGUCACGCAUCAGACCCGAGACAACCAUUAAGCGGAUGGAUGGUUGGACUGAAAUAAGACUAUCAAAAGAGAAUUUUUCAGAUUUGGAAAUAUGCCUAUUGAAAGAGAAUGGAGGGAGUACUAAUCUAAAAAAAUGACAGCUUCUACUUACAGACUAUGUGGUGUAAUGUCAGUAUCAUCACAUCCCCCCAAACAUAAGACUACUAUUAAUAAGCAGUCAACAAAAAACUAAUAUUAGAAGACUUUCGCAACCCAAGGACCAAGAUAUAGAUCCAACAGGACGACAACAUGGACCAUGAUUCCUGUAAUUUAGGAGACACUCGAUAACUGAACCACAGAUAUCAGAAUAAUCUGGGCAGCACAAAUAAGCCAUCUCCAUUAACAGAUCUGCCCAACAGAGAUCUAAAUCCCAGAUCCAUACCCAACAUAAUACUACUUCUAGAGAGCUACUCUGCAGAACGGUAAAUUAUGGAAUAUAAGGGUAAAACAUGAUCUAGAUCUACGCAAGGACAAGCAAAGGCAGGCACGUGAAUCACCUUGCUCUUGGUGACGGAGUCGUUGACGUUGAUGGCGGGGAAGAGGAGGGUGCCGGUCUCCUGCAUCUGGUAGAGCCUCUUGACUCCGGUGGUGGUCUCCUCGGAGACGCCGACGAGCCUCUCCUUCAUCUUGCGGUACCUCUUGGGGUCGGACUUGAGGCCGUCGCGGAUGAUGGUGAGCACGAUCUUGAACUCGGCGUUGUCAGUGGACUCCGGGUCGGGGACCUUGCCGGUCUUCUCGUACUCCUCCUCCGCCUUGACGCCCUCGUGGAUGAGUAGCGUGGCGUCGCCGCCGUCGUCGACGAUGAGGUCGGGGCCGCCGCCCUCACCCCAGUCGAGGCAUCGCUCGGUGCACCACCAGUACUCCUCGAGCGUCUCCCCCUUCCACGCGAAGACGGCGGCUGAGUCCCGCGCGAUGGCGGCGGCGGCGUGGUCCUGCGUGGAGAAGAUGUUGCAGGAGCACCAGCGGACCUCGGCGCCGAGCGCGGUGAGGGUCUCGAUGAGGACGGCGGUCUGGAUGGUCAUGUGGAGGGAGCCCGAGAUCCUGGCGCCGGCGAAGGGCUUGGACGGGCCGAACUCGGCGCGGCACGCCAUGAGACCCGGCAUCUCGACCUCCGCCAGCUCGAUCUCGAGGCGGCCGAAGUCGGCCUGGGACAGGUCCUUCACCUUGUACUCCCGCCCCGACGAGGUCUUCUCCACGGAGAGCGCCAUGGCAGCGGGCGGAGGGAGAGCUCGCGGAUUGGAUCUGGGAGGGAAUGGGAGGAGGGGAGGAGACGGCGGGGGGAGUGGAGGUGGAGGGAGGGCCGGAGGGGGGUUUUAGGGGAGAGACGAGGGCGCUGCGCCGUUGGAUCCUGGAAGCGGCCGUCGGAUCUGAACGGGAUUGGUGGGGGGAGUGGGUGAGGGGUUUUUGUAGAUUUUAUUUUAUUUUGUCUAUUUUUGUUGUCAGUGGUGGGGCUACAUCUCAACCAAAGAAAAAGGUUUUUUUUUGAAACUGACAGAAGAAAAAGGUUACCCUAGCAACAUUUUCAGUGGUAUUUUUGAAUUUUUAUAGUGGGAGCCUGUUCGCAUAUUGCAUUUUCUCCUUUCCUGUAAGAUGUAUUUAUAUAGUAUGAAAAGUCUUUAGAAAGUUGUGCUUGAUUUUUCUUAUUGUGCAUUGGUAUCAAGUGAACAAAAUCAACAUCACAAAAAAAAUGAAAUAGAAUAUUUUUUCUAACUUCAGUUGAUGAGUUUUGUUACUUAGAAUUACAGAAAUCCAGCGGCGGCGUAUGCUCACUGUGUCCUUUUCAUCACCAACAUCACUUACACCAAUGCAGUUAGGCACCACCUACAUCAUGUUAUCCUUUUCUAAGGUUCUGUGCAACUACCACCCCAUCAUUGCAGCUCUUUCGGUGCCACAAGCACUCGCUAUUGCCACCAGAACUCCCAUGAUUCCGUCUUGUUUGUCGUGCGUGCAAAUGGCCCUCCUUGUUGACCAUAAGUACUGUUGCAUUAUCAUGUUCUUUUAAUGGGGUUUGGGUUUGCAUUUCUAUCUGUCCAUUGUUUCAAAAUAUAGAUAUUUCAAUUUAAAAUGUGUAAUUCUAAUAUUCAUUACAUGACAUCGGGACCUCUAAAGAUAAAAGAUAUCCUUGUAGCGGGGAAUCUGCCCACCCGAAUUCAAAUCUUCAACUCGGCAUGGUACUUAUAUUUCUUUCAGCUAUUUAAUUUUUAGUGAUAGAAUAUAUACCCCUUCGUACCCGGCACCCGUGACUUUGUCACUUAAUAUGUACCAAACUAGUGCCUCAUAGAUAUUCAUAGAGAUAGGUGUAUGUGCAUGUAUUUAUAGGAACGAGUAGGUGUCCAUAUUUGCAUUGUGUUUUGAAAGAAAAUAAAUUGAAAGAGAGAGAGAGUAAUAAAUUCAUAUUUGAGGGUAGAAGAAUUUGAAUUUCAAAGUGCUUUCAUUAUGAGGCUGAAUUGAGAAGAAGCCAUUAUCCUGCCACAUCAGUUUGGAUUGAGGCUCGAGAAGCAUGAGCCUAGCGAAACAUCCUUUUCGCCAUGACGUGUGUUGCUCGGGUCGAUCGCUCGCCGAAAAUGUGCGCAGCCAAGUUCACUAGAUUUUUCAAGCCAAGCUUUUGGCUGAGAUCCAUCGACGAGGCUGGUGAUCUCCCAACAUCGCUAUCUCGCGAGGUGCCAUGUCAAGCUAAUUUUCCGCAGCCUACUAUUGUCCUUUUCUCCAAAAAUUUCUGGUGGUAGCUAGCAGUGCUUUGGUUGCAGGUUGCAGGCUUGCAGCUGGUGGUGGCCCACGUCAACAAUUUUUUUAAAUAAGAAGAAGCUAUGUGCACGGAACAAUUUUUUUUUCCUUUCAAAAAAAAAAAAUCUUUGCCCCGAUGCUUUCCGGUCCGAAACCAAACCAAAGCAUUCUUUUUUCCGGCUGGGUGCUCGACAGCCGACGGGCCGGGCUCCCUUUUUCUUUUCUUUUCUUGGGAACACCACGCUACGGCAGCGCCUGGCGCCUGUCCCUCUCGUGGACCUCGUGGCUGGCGUGGUCCGUGCGCGUGGGCUGGGCCGGGCCCACGGGGCGCCGCAGUUGGCUUCUACCUACCCGCGGCGAAUCGUGUCCGUUAGCGAGGAAACCAACCAAGGGUGAGUGGUUCAGGUUCUUCACGGUGGGGUAAGGGCAAGACCAAUAUAACCAAUGCUUGAGCAGCAUGGGAGAGGUAGUGUGCGGGGAGAGAGAUUAAUGUUUGUUUAUUUUUUAAGGCAACCCAUAUGUAUAUACGUAGUUUUUGCUAAGGACUACCCUAUGGACUGGUUGCACAAUGUAUAAGGGUAGGUUGAAUGCAUUGUUUAUUGCCUAUGGAUUGCUUUUGUCGCCCUUAUGCAUUCAAAUGCCAAUCACUUCGGCAAGUGUCUACUGUGUGUUUCAUGCUCGAUUCGAUCCGUGCUAUGCGACCAUCAUCACUAAUAUUGAAUCUUUGUAUAUGGCAGAUUUUUAAAGAAUACUCUUUCCGUUCCAAAUUGUAGGUCAUUUUAGCUUUUUUAGGUUCAUAUAUAUUAUUAUGCAUCUAGAUAUAGUGUAUGACUAGAUGCAUAAUAGUAUAUAUGAACUCAAAACAACUUACAAUUUUGAUGAGCAAUAAUUUGCCAUCUGCUGCACUAUAAUGCACUCGUACAUCAAUAUUUUUCAUGUGGGGCCUAGCUGGAGAAAAAAACAUCAUGGCAGCUCAACCGUGACCCGUGAGUCACAUUUUGUUUUCUCUGAAAUUAUGAGCGUGGUUGGUUAGGCUCCAAAACUUACGCUGCCAAAUCUAGGGCAUGCCAAAACGUGGGCAUGAUAACUUUUUUUUUUGCCAAAACCUGGGCAAGAAAGCACUUGAUUGGGUGCUAAAAUGUGAUAGUCAAUUUUUUUUUUUGACUUUCAACCAAACGAGUGCAAAGUUUAAGGGCUUGCCCUAAUUUUGGCUGGGCAAAUAUGUACCCUCGUGGUUGACGAACCGCCAGCAGCAGGUGCCACACCAAUGGCUAACAUUUGUGAUUUGUUCAAUGCCCAGCCCAAUUGCCAAUCUAAUCAAUCGAAAUGUGACGAUAAUGACAAGCUACCAGUACAUGGUUCCCUCCAAACUCCAAAGACAAACACAUGGAACUGUACAUUACUACUACUAUACAUCGACCACGCGCACACGCACGCCACUACGCACUACUAUACUACACUAAAUUUUCGAGCGUAUUACAUACAUGAGCUCCCUGUUUCCUUUCUGAUGAUGUAAAAGCUUCCCUUUUUAUCCAUGUGGAGUGGUGGGCACACCAAGCUCAGUUGUUCUCGCAUGUCGAUUUCCAAAGCCAUCUCCAUGGCCGCUGAAAAAAAAAUAUUGCACCCAUAAAGAGAUAUGGGUGCUCGCACACCAGAAGAAAGAUCAGUGAAAUGCCAACCAAAAGCGCUGGACCGAAACUGGCAGCCUAGGUGUCAGACCAAUGAUAAUAGAGAGGCAAAGGGGUGCAUUGAGCCAAAGCCUAAGUGAGAGCACAAUUCGUUAGGCACCUGCAGGCCAGGCCAGCGCAAUCCACAGUCCAAUUGCUAUACCUGGGCCGAUCAUGAAGCACAACAGGGUGCAAAUGCAGCUCAACCCCGACUUGUGCUAAGAUGUCGAGGAGCUCCGAAUUGGAUGCAAACGUAGGACCUAUGUUGUCACGUCGUACUGGAGGGCAGCUAUAUUGCACUAGUCUAAGGCCUGGAUUAUUAACUACUAAUAUGACAAAAAAAAACUACUAAUAUGACAAGCUGGCUCUAGAGGCCAACAAAACUAGCAUGACGAACAUCCUUAACAUUUCGCCUCAGGCCUGGAUUAUUAGCAAAAACCAUGUCCCAGUGACUAUAUUUGCAGGCAGGGUGCUAGAUUCUCAAUUAUGUAUCCCGUAAAGCUGGGCGGGAACAAAAUAGGCUGGUUAAGCUGAAAUCUGUGAACCAGUGCGUCUAAACCAAAUGAACAAAGAUAAUAUUCCCCAAUCACAGUAACUGUCUAAAUGGAUGUUGCAGGUGUAAGUUGACAACAGAAGAAAAAAUCAGCCUACAUGAAUGUUACCUGUGCGGUAAUCUGAGCUCACCAAAAACUUCAGAAGGAUGUGAUCAAAUGGCACAUGACAUAUAGCUAUACUCUACACACUAAUUUUCACCUGAUUCACUGUUAUUUAUCAUGGGGAACCACUUCGCUUUGUGCUUUUCAGUAAGCUAGGUUAGAACUCUCAAGUAAACAUAAGCUACCUAUGCAAACAAAAAUUGUAGAAAAAUAAUUUCCAAAUCCGUUAGAAGGUUAUAUUAAUGUACAAGGAAGGAUAGUACACUGACCACCAUGGUUCAAUAGUAAAAGACGAACACUUUUGAAGGCCCUCCACAAAAUUUAGUCACUUAGGUACAACAAGCUGACUGCCAUCAAGCUUCCUUAUCUUGAAGCAGCCACAGCUUAGCUGCAGAUGUGUCAUACAACAAUCGAGUGAGUUUAACAAACUCUCCCAGCUCUUGGGUGGUAUAAUGAAGUAAUUAUUACCAGGUGCAAUACAUAACAGGAACAGAUCACCAGCUAAUGAGUCAAAUGGCAAAAAAGCAAUUUCCCAGGCAAGGCUACUAAAAACCUGCGUGCAGGGGCAUCAAGCAACAAGUAAACUACAUUGCUCAAGAACACAAGAACCCUGAGCAUUUUUGUUAGCACCAAGCACCAUGUAUUCGCAUGCAUGAAUUCAACUUAAACCAUGGUCACGCAUAUGCUCAAAAUGCUCAGUCACGUAUAACGAUUUCAGAGUGGAAAGACUUUUAUUUAAGUACUAGCCCACUUGACUAGGAAGGAUACAGAACUAUUAGAGAUUGUAUAGCUGAUUUAUGCUUUCCAUGUGUACUUGAUUGUAUUCUCUGUAUACCAAGCUACAUUGGCUAUAUAUAUUAAAGGUCAACCCCGUGUGGUGUUCCCUGAAUCCUAUCUCUCUACAUGGUAUUAAGAGAUCGGGAUCAAUUUGUCCCACGCCUUUCCUUCCGCUCCUUUCUACCCUAAACCGCGUUGCGACUCCAUUGCGACGCGUCCUCCCCUCCCCGUGCGCCGUCCUCUUGGCGGCGUCCCUCCCUUCCUCUCCCCGACGUCCAUGUCUCAAGCCUCCACUGCCGAAUCCGCCAUGUCCAGCACCAUGCCUGCCCUCGGCGCUGGCACCAUGCCUGCCCUCGGCGCUGGCACCCUGCUCGCCAUGGGCGCCGGCACCGCGCCGGCCACGGGCGCUGGCACUCAACCUGUGCUCGGCUCCGAAUCCUCCCCUGCGAUAGGUGACGACACGACGCAGGGCAGUGGCGGUGGCUUCAUCCUCUACGCCACGCCGCCGGCUAUCAUCCACCCCUAUGUCACUGUCUGCGUCAAAUCUCAUGUCCCCGUGACCCUGACGAUGAAGAACUCCACCUACUCCAAGUGGGCCUCUUUCAAGUCGAUGUGCGGCAAAUUCGGCCUCACAUCGCACAUCGACGGCACGGCAGCGCCUCGUCCCGAUGACCCCGACCGGGAUCAAGCGGAUUGCUGCAUUCGCUCUUGGAUUUUUAGCUCCGUCGAUGACUCCGUCCUCGACCUCGCCAUGGACGACAAUGAGCAGAUCGUCCGGGCCC